GCUAAAAAAAGAUUGAACAUGUGGUUCCGAGUUUCGAUAACUUCUUCUACUUUCAUUUCCUCCGCCUUCCAAAUCGCAGAGUUAAUUCAAAAGCCUAGGUGUUAUUACUGAGCUGCUGCUCUUUUUUCUCUAAUUCCCUUCUCAGAUCCUCCGACUACUCCUCCUUAUCCUACUCACUCGAAGUUUCGUUGGUCAUUUAUUGUUUUUUUAGCCUCUUUGACAAAGUUAGUAAGAAGAAAAACCUCGAUCUUUACUUCACACAAUCUCGAUUUGAAUUAUCAUUUGGUGAACCGGGCAUCUCGGACAAAGACAAUAACAAGAAGAGAUGGGAAGACCCUUCGCGGUCCUGCUCCCUGGUCUCUACCUUGCUUACCGCCCCUCGUAGGGGCCAGCGUACCCAUACCGAAAACGAUUUACUCUUUUUAUGGGCGCUUUCGACUAGGCUCUCGUUAAGGAAUCAGCCCAAACAAGAUCGAGAUUCCCGCGAGAAUUGCUACGCUGCCUGCAGUGAAAUUGCAAGAAUCACUUUAUACGCUAUUUCGAAAUCGAAUGAAUUGAGCAACUGUAUUUCCCCAGGUUUCCAUUGGAAAAGGGGUUUUUUUUGUAUGCAAGUGAUGAUCGAUUGGCGGAGAAGCCGCUCCCGUGUGGGGUGGCCGUGAGAAUGAUUCCGAGUCUUCCUGACCAGACCCAUGUGGAACUUGUAAAUAAAUAGGUUUGUAAGUGCCUAGCUGAGUAAUAAGAUAAGUACCUUUGCUAAUAAUCCAAAACCUUUCAUCUUCUCUUUCUAGAUAUAGCAGCCUACCCAUAUUGAUAGUGGAAUUAUUGAUCUCCUCUUUCGGAUAGCCCAUUUUGAAUAAGUGUUAUGGGUAAGGGCUUGACCUACCAGUUGAAUGGAAUCUACCGUUCUUUAUGCUCUCGCUAGCUUUGAACUUGUUUGUACCAGUAAUCAAACCCAGAAUCUCAUUUCCCAUUGCUUUCAUCGCAUAGAGCCAGAUGCCGCAUCCACAGGCCUAUUUAGUAAGUGGGGGUGUAUCCUUGGUGACACUUGAGAAAUAAUCCUAUACUUCCAAUAACCCACUACUUCCUCCACGGAUGGUACAUGGCAGGCAUCUGCCGGAACUAGAGGCGAGCACUUUUCAAUCAAUUACGAGAGGCAUUCUCUUCUCUGAUCUUUAAUAAGCGAAGCAACGAGCCUAGUAGGGGAAAUACCUUCCUCAGGAAUGUCAUCAAAGCCAGGUUCUCCAAUCGUAAAAGGGAAUAUUCCAUGGAACAAGGGUUGUUUUUAGGUGCUGUCCUCGGCAGACCACCACAAAAGGUCCGAAUCAGGCGAAACUUCUUUUGGUGCCAGCGAGAAGUAGUAACAAGAACUCCUCCUCUGUUCAAUAUCAGCCUGGUUUAGGUCUAGGUCAUAAUGAAUUUUCUGAUACCUUCCUUCGUCCAUAGAUCAGCGUUAUGCUUCUGUCCCGUGAUGAAGAAGGAUAGAAGAAUGGUAAGAUAGGAUCGUAUUAGUGAGCCGUGGGAAAAGAGUUUUUUCGUACCUUGAUUGGACCCACCCAAAAGCAACAGGAAUCCCUUUCUCCUCCUAUAAGGAAAUCUCGUCGUUUCACUCUUCUUCAAGUACCAUCGGAUUAGUCAACUCAAACGCUGAGAGAUUACUAUAGAACCAAGGCGGCUUUGAGGCUGGCUCCACUCUCCAAAUAGAGCAGUUACUUCGUUGACGACAAGAACCCCAUUUCCACUAGCCAAAGAGCAAUUCAUUUCUUCGACUCGAUGCCUCCUCAUUUGCUCCCAUUCCCAUAUUAAUAACAGAAUUAGGGAAAUGCGAGGGAAAAGAAUGCCAAAAGCAUUUAGAGAUUUUACUGGGAUUCGUUCUGGCUCAGAUGGCGAGGGAUUGCUAUAACUAUUUUUAGAAGCAUUAAUGAGAUCUCUUUUUUUCUUCAUAAGCUUGCAUCAUGAAUCCCACUUCCCACUUUACCUGCCUCUUUAGUAGUCUCACAUCUCGGUUUAAGAAAGUGCUCGCUAUAUUCCCAUACCUUCCUGUGCUUAAUACCUAGCUUCAAAGAGCCCACUCUUUUAUUUAAUAGCCGAGAGGCAUGAACGGUUGGGAAAAACCCUCUCCUGUGUGGGUCGUAAGAGUCGAUUAUCCAAGCGAGACCUUAGAGGGGAGGACACACCAUAGCACCCAUUGGUAGACUAGACUCCGGAGCUUCAAACAAACUUACAGUAAGCCUAAUCAAAGCAGGCGCCCUCACCUCCUUCUUCACCGCCGGCGUCUACGGUUUGGGUGAAGGUAUCAGCUCUGAUACCAUGUGUGAUAAAUUCUUCCCAUUUUCCUGUGAUAGUCAAUAAACACAACCCUUACGUAUCCGUAUUUUGUAAUCACCUUUCCCUUCCCGUCGCUUCCUUAUACUAGAAUUCUGAUGACGCGUGCAACCCCGGCUACUUCGCUACCCUACUAUUAACAAUUACGGAGUUUCGAUUGUUUAUCCAAUGCAGCUUAAUAUGGUUAUGCCAGCAAGGAGCAUGAACUGAAGCUAGUUAUUUACUUAGAAGAGGAAACGGCUAGUCAGCAGAGCAGCGCAGCGGAGUCAUCAUAUUAUCAUAUUCUUGAGUCUCUCCCCACGGGAUGACCGCUUCCACCAGACUCUAUUUCUAUUGGUUCACCUUAGAUUUCUUGGUUGUCUACAUCCGUCUAAUCCUUAUCUAUAAGAACAUAAUCGCUAAGCUAUGGAUGCUUCGGCCGCACUCUCUACUCAGCUAUCUGUUUCUACUGCGUUGCGUUUUGGAGGCCCGAUACAAAAGAAAGUGGCCUUCCUUAUUAGUAGUGAUGGAGACGUCAGGUCCGAGAAGGAAUAACCUAAAGCCAGUGAUAGAAUCUGUACAACCGGCAGGAGCGAUUGAUCAGAUAUCGCAUACAUGCUUAUAAGCUGCUAAUUCUCACACAAUUAGCAUAUAAGGAGAAUAACGUAAAGCUAGUCAAUGCGUUCAGCACUUUCACUUUCCGUACAUACCUUGAUGGGAAGGAAAACUCCACUUCGGAUGGGUUAAAGGUUUUCCAAUUAUGCCUUGCUUACGUUCUCAACUGGAUCACUUUAAUAUCGUUCGACUCAUUGUCAUCAGAGAAAGAUGUGCCGUAGGAGAAUUGACUUCGGAUCAGAGCAGGAAUCGAAACCAAGGAAAAGCUUCAUUCCCGUGCGGUUUCAUUAGUACUACAUCUAUAGGCCACUACUUCACCACUUCACUGGAAAGUGCAUUCUCAAUUGUAGCAAAGUUUCGUAACCACUAAAGCGCAUUCUCUCCUUUACUCUUAUUCCGGCAUGGAUCCCGCUGAAGCAUCUAGUUUUUGGUCAUUUCGCUUUUCGUGCCGGCCUGUAUUCGGAGUUUCUUGGAUUUGCGGUGCCUGAAUACCUUUCUCCUUCUUUUUGGUGACGUCGGAUGCCCGCCUUUGGCGCUCAGAAGUGGAUUCUCCUUCAAAGAGGGCUUUUCCCCUAAGAAAGGGACAUGGUUGUAUUGGAUUUCUAGUCCUAUAGUGGAAGAGCAGAUAGGAUCACACCUACACGUAAGUUCGUUCGUUGGGUUAGUGGCCACCCGCACUCCAACCUAUCUAUAUGGCAACAAAGCGAAUGACAAGGCCAAAGUAGCUGACUCUUAUCGCUAACUUAACUCGGUCUAAGGGCGAGCUUGAAUACAACUCACAGAACGACUCCUCCAGGGGCCUUCAGGCACUCAAACAGAUAGUGAGACAGACACCAUCUAUAGAACUUGAAUGACAAUACACCCAUAUAUUCUAGCUAACAAUCAGAAACUGUAUCCAAAUGGAGGGGACACUCUUCCUUCAGAAAGAUGCCUUCGAAAGAAAAGCUCUUCCCCUCAACGACACAGCACAUUUUCUCAAAUGUUCCACGUUUCUCACCAUAUCCUCAUAGGGCUGAAGCACAAGAAAGAGGAUUACUUGGUUACCUUGCUUCCCUCGCCUAGGACAGUAGAAGGAUCUGUGGCCGAAGGCGCCACAAACGAAGCGGGUCGCCUCUUUUCUGCAGAUCUCCUCAAGAUGACCCUUCUCCCCGCAACGAUAGCACAUAACGUUUUUCCCAUGCUUGCGCGGUGAGGAGGACGAGGCCUUGAGAAGCUUUUCCACCAUUUUUCCCCUUUGGCAUUUGGAUCCAUGUUUUCUUUAACGAUCUCCGUGAUAGUAAAGGUUUUUUUGGUAGCCUUUGCUUUUGACGGCGAUGAAAGAAAGAGAACCCCUCCUAUCUUUUGAUCGUGGUCAAAAUCCUAUCCAAGUCCCCUUUUUUAAGAUCUUUCUCCUGGUUUUGAUCAUCACCGUUCACCUACUUGUUACGGAGAUCCCGACCAAUGCACAAUCCAGAUUUUUUUAGCUUUUUUUCUCCCAUCCCAUCUUGGACGGGCCCAGAAGCUUUUCUCAUGUUUGAAUGGAGGUCUUCCGCAAAUGAAUUUCCAUAUAGAAAUUAUAUAAUGUGCCUGCAGAUAUUGAUUGAAAGCUUGUUUCAAUUGAACGAGGAUGUGAACGAGAAGGCAACAAAAGGGAGCUUGGAGCAAGAGGAGUCAUUUAGUAGUUCACGAAAAAAGGCAUAGUAGAGAAAGGCGGACCAGGCAAUCUCAGAGUGGAAAUCGACACCAUUCAUCCAUCUAUCUCUGCAUCCGGGCUCGCCUCCACUAUUGUUCCGGGUUGAUGAAAGAUCCAACUCCAGAAACCAUACCUACUUCCUGCUUUCGAAAGUGCUUGCUUGCUGACGGGCAUCCCGGUGGGAUGUCUUACCCUCCCUCGAGUCCGAUCUCGGGAGGGCGCUUGGGCUUUUUUUAUUCCCAGGUGUCCGUUUUAUAAAUGCGUAUCGUGAUCCUAGUAUCGGGCUAGGAUUGGCUCUGGUCUAAAACAAGCUUGACCUAAGAACCGCCCUUAAGCAAGGCAGGCAUACGCGCACCUAUAUGUCAAGAUACCUAUUAAGAUUGAAAAAAAGGAAAUCUUUAACAUGCGCAUAAGGAUAGAAGGCAGCUAUCUCUUCAGGGGCAUUGCAAAACAGCGUCUACUCCAAUUGAAGAAGUCCAUUCUAUGGUCAACCUUGUNUUUUCUUUAACGAUCUCCGUGAUAGUAAAGGUUUUUUUGGUAGCCUUUGCUUUUGACGGCGAUGAAAGAAAGAGAACCCCUCCUAUCUUUUGAUCGUGGUCAAAAUCCUAUCCAAGUCCCCUUUUUUAAGAUCUUUCUCCUGGUUUUGAUCAUCACCGUUCACCUACUUGUUACGGAGAUCCCGACCAAUGCACAAUCCAGAUUUUUUUAGCUUUUUUUCUCCCAUCCCAUCUUGGACGGGCCCAGAAGCUUUUCUCAUGUUUGAAUGGAGGUCUUCCGCAAAUGAAUUUCCAUAUAGAAAUUAUAUAAUGUGCCUGCAGAUAUUGAUUGAAAGCUUGUUUCAAUUGAACGAGGAUGUGAACGAGAAGGCAACAAAAGGGAGCUUGGAGCAAGAGGAGUCAUUUAGUAGUUCACGAAAAAAGGCAUAGUAGAGAAAGGCGGACCAGGCAAUCUCAGAGUGGAAAUCGACACCAUUCAUCCAUCUAUCUCUGCAUCCGGGCUCGCCUCCACUAUUGUUCCGGGUUGAUGAAAGAUCCAACUCCAGAAACCAUACCUACUUCCUGCUUUCGAAAGUGCUUGCUUGCUGACGGGCAUCCCGGUGGGAUGUCUUACCCUCCCUCGAGUCCGAUCUCGGGAGGGCGCUUGGGCUUUUUUUAUUCCCAGGUGUCCGUUUUAUAAAUGCGUAUCGUGAUCCUAGUAUCGGGCUAGGAUUGGCUCUGGUCUAAAACAAGCUUGACCUAAGAACCGCCCUUAAGCAAGGCAGGCAUACGCGCACCUAUAUGUCAAGAUACCUAUUAAGAUUGAAAAAAAGGAAAUCUUUAACAUGCGCAUAAGGAUAGAAGGCAGCUAUCUCUUCAGGGGCAUUGCAAAACAGCGUCUACUCCAAUUGAAGAAGUCCAUUCUAUGGUCAACCUUGUGGCUCCAAACUAGCACUGAUCCUCAGGAGUGAUGCCUCCUCUCGUCAAAAGUCGGUAUAUACAUGUUCUUGGAAGCAAAGAAAGAAUCUCAUGUAUCAGAGCGGAUACGAUAAUCAGUCGUGCAUAUUAUUAUCAUAUAUAAAUAAAACGAGAUGAGUGGGAUUGAGGAAGAAGGGGAGAGUAAUGGAAGCUGCUUUAGAGAAGGAAAUCCGAAGCAUUACGAGAUCAAAAGAGCUGAGAAUGAGUCGUCAAAUAAGCUCUACGUUAAGAGAAUGGUGGAAACCAGCGCGCAAACUUCAUUCUCUCCUAGGAUGCAUCAUGGGAAAAUCUCAAGACGAUAUAGUGAUGUCGCUUAUCCUACUACAAAGAUUAGGGCUAAUGGAGUAGGAUUCUUAAAAUAUCUACCAAAAAAAGAGAACUUAUAUAAAUAUAAGAAAAUGAGACAGUAAUGAGGUCCAUAUCGUCAUCGUAAUAAAAAGAAAGAUCUGCAAGCAUUCUUUAUGGGAGUCGGGGCUUUCUGAUUUGAAGUUGCUGGAAAAGGACCUGUGUGAUCGGUUGAUCAUUAGUCGUUUUUUUUUCAGGUAAGUAGGCAGGGGUGUCUUGAUCGAAACCGAACUUCAAUUCCACCCAGCUCAGAUUCUACGCAGCAGUGGGGAAGACCUGUUUAUACUUUUUUUGAGAAUUCCAUUCCUGAUGAGAAACUAUCAGAUAUUCCUCCUAUUCCGGAAGGUUUUCUAGCCACCUGCUUAGAGAUUUGACGGACUACCAAUCCAAAUAGCAGUCAAGAAAGAAUCCAAGUUGCAGUCAAGAUAGAUGGAAUGGACUAGGGCGCAAGGAAAGAGAUCCAAAACGAGAGCGAUCAUUCAUUCCCUCUUUCUCUGGCCAAGCUAUUCAACUGUCGACUAUUCUCACUCCCCUGCCUCUGCUAGACUCAACUCACACAUAUCGACUCCACUGGAGAACCUGGGACCGGCACACUCAGUUGAGAUGAAGUCUGUUGACUGCCGUUGAUUUUCUAUGUGCUCAGGUGCUUCAAGGGCGCGACUACCCGAAUAGAGAUUGUCUAAGGGCAAAGGUUCCGCCUCAGGCUUCGAUCACAUGGAGGAGGGUGUUUGUGCUGCAAGGUAAACUCUUUUGGCGGGUCUGAUCUGGCGCAUUGGAGAUGGUUUAAGCACAACAAGUUUGGGUGGACUACUGGAUCCCAAGGUUCGAAGAGAGAGAAAUUCCCUAAUCGGCCUAACUCGAUUGUGAGGGAUCUACGGAAAGCUGAUGGGAAGUCAUGGGAUGAGCAAGUAGUGCGGAAUGUGUGUCUUCGUUGUGAUGCCGACGAUAUCCUUAAGAUAGAUUCUUCUACCACGGGGGAAGCUCCAAGGACUUAAGUAAGCCAACUUCAUCCGGUAUUGAGGAGUCCGUCCCCCAAUUUCCCACGCCUCUUCGUUCUCCCCAUUUAGCUAAGUUAUGAGUUCGCAAAAAAGAAAUCCUCUUCUAGAUCGGGUUGGAGUCGAGUUGCCAACUAAAGGCCCAGUCAAAAUAACCUACUGGGUUGAAGCUACUGGUAUAAGACCCAGCCUGGCAUCUCUACUUGGACUAUCCUUUACGUUACCCGCUUUAAAGUGCCAGUCUUCUCAUCUCGAUAACCAAUCCAGGUAAGAUUAGAUCCAUGCUUAUACGAACUCAAGAAAGUAGCCCUUGCCCUGAACCAGAAUCAAAGCAAACUCAAUCCUCACAACUUAAAGGAGAAACUAGGAAAUAGAGCUAGAUAGGCUCUAUACACGCUCGAAAAAUCAUAGUAAAAUAUAGAAGUGAUGAAUGCUGUGAGUAUUCCUUUCUUCUCCGUAAAAUUAAGUCUAUCAAUCAGUCCUUUUCUGAACUGAUUUCUAUAGCCCUGCUUCCCUCCCGCAAUCAGAGUGAAACUACCAUAAAAGGUUUGUCUUGAAAAGAAAUAGUGCCACUGGCAGCCACUAUAUGAGUGAGAUAGACUUGAUUCUUUCUCUGGCUGUAGAAUUGACAUAGAACUAGUUUUUCUUCCCAAGGCCCAAUUCUUAAUGAUUGAGGAAAUGCACGCUCACAUAAUGGGAAAAUCACGUAUAAUCCUUACGAGAAAUCUCCUACUUUCCUCUCUACAGGGAAGUGCGCCAGUUCGAGAAAUAUUGUUGAUAGAAUGAAUGCUCUUACGCGCUAAUGAAUGAUGACUUAUUUAAAGAAUUUCUUGAUAUCUUGCAGAAUGGUUUUCAUGCUAAUCAGAAUGAAUUUCUACUUAUGCGCUAAGAGAGACUGUGGUGGAAUCAAACCAGUCUCUUGGGAAAAUCAAAUGGAUGGAUCUCUUUGUCAGCUUCUUGUUUGAGAAAAAGAGUAGUGACUCGCUGGAUUGAGAUUUCUAGGAAAAAGAGUUGCGAACGAAAUCCUACACUCCCUGUAGGUAGGGCUGGGCGAGAAAGGGUCCCCUCUGAAGCCUAUAAGUUAGUAAGCAGGCCAAAUAUUCCACCGGGGUCUUUCUUAGCAAACUCAUUGAUGGCAGUACCUAACUAAAGAAGAAUAGCGCUCUUUCUUUCUUUCAAUUACGUUUCUUGAAUGGUUCUGCACUUAGAUCAGUCAGUACACACGAAACCCUUUAAUCAAGUGAGUGCCACUUUAACUCAGCUCUUUCCUAGUGAUCUUGAUUGUCCCUAGAAGCAUCUCUUAUUUUCAUAUAGAAAUUAAAUGGUUUAGUGGAAAAGAGGGAGAUCCGGACUCACUUCUACCAAUCGAAGAUUUUCGUAUUGUAAUUAAACGGAAAUGAUAGUAAGAAAAAAUACUAAAAAUGCAGAAGUUAGGCUUCUUCCGGUUCUAGAGUAGUGGCUUCAAGCUCCAGUCUUAGUUUGACUACAGAAAAAAUAGAAAAAGGCUCCCCGUGGACUCUACGCGGGACUUUUUUUAUUAAACUUACAUAAUUAGAAUUUCUCUGACAUUCCAUGUUGUUAAUUAUGUCUCGUAUGGAACUUGUUUGUUCCAAAUUGUUUGGGAAGUUAUUUUUGGGUUUAAAUUUAAAUCAAAUUCAUCUGGAUAUCUUUUUCUUCCUCAUUCUUAUUUCGGUUUUCGUAUCAUGGAAGUUGGUUCGCGCUUUAUGUCCGCGUUGCCCGGUCUGGGCUGCGCACGUUUUUUACGGCUUUUGUUGUAGCGCGGUGCUGGGGUCUAACAUUACUCCUGCGGAAUGCUCGCCGGGUAACGACCCCGCGCAAAAUGAGGAUCCGUCGGGGUCAGGGGCGGGGGCUACACCACUGGAGGAUAGCUUCUGGGAUGCGCUUCUCCAGGGGGGUGCCAAUAGGCGUGAGAAACAAGUCGCGUCCACAAGUCAAACCCCCGGGGGCUUGACGGAAGGCGGGGAGCAAGCAAGGGCUCAAGCGUCUACUAAUCUGAUGCUUUUAGGCGAUGACGACCUGUCUCGCGCCGUAGCCCCGUAUCUCCCGCAGGGAGGUCAGGCUCCUGUAAAUCUGCCCGAAGGACGACCGCUUACAAUGGGGGAAGAAGAACGGCUAGCCCUAGUCCUUAAUUACCACCAGCACAUCGGCGCUCUUUUAAGAGACCUCGAUGCUACCUCGGUCUUGAGCUACCACUUCGCGGAGGAAAGCGCCGAGGAUCUCGCUGCCUCGGCCCUCCAGCACAAGGAAGAGGAGCUCAAUGACCCAGAGAAGCUUUGGGUCGUGUAUGAAAGUCUUAAGCAUCAUGGAAACAGUUCCCGCUACUAUUUUCGAGCGGUAAACUGGGUCAGGGCAGAGAGACAGGUGCGUAAUGGGGACUUAUCUGUAAGGUUCAUCAUCGAGGACGACGGGGAGGGAUAAUGAAACAAACUACUAGCAACCCGCAGAAAUAACGCUCAUAUCUAGUACUAGUUCUAGUUAGAUGAUCAAUUCUGGCACAAUGAAUUUACGAGUUAUUUUACACAAUGAAUUUACAAGCAAAUGAGUUUGCAACGGUAGACCUAUCUCCCGAAAAGAGUUCAGUAAACAAGGGAACGAAGCGGCUUUCUUUAUCUUUCUCAAUAAGAAUGGCUACCACCUCCUGCUGGAUCUACUUCUGGUAUCCGUACCCCUGCGACUUGGGAAAGAGACCAGCGCACUUGACCACAGCGAUCGAUCCGAUAAACUAAAGCAUCCUGGCCUCUGGCCAACCAUUGAGAAUGGAACAAAUGAUAUGAUAUAUAAUAAAGAAUAGCAAGGCGCGCAGCGAUGGAUAAGAGAUAAGAAGCAAAGAAGGAUAUCUAUCAGGCAACUCACUAUUGAACGGAGAGAAAAGUAGUCCGUGACGUACAAGUAAAGCUCUUGCCCAUAUAAUGUCAUCGUUUACUGCAGGGAUUCCCUAAAUUCUAUUCGUAGGGAGCCCCAAGCAGGAUAUUUGGUAGGGCACCUCAUUCUCUGUUUAAGCACAUUCGUACAGGUAGGUCAGCAAUGCAGGAUAGGCGGGUAGGUAAGCUUUACAUUCACUAUGCUGUAACUCCCCUAGUUCCUUAUUUUCACUAUGUCCAUAUGUACCAAUUCACUCUUUGUUGAUCUCCUACACAUGAUGGCUUUUCCUACCUCACAAGACAGAAUACCAAACUUACUGAAAGGAGAGGAAGGCAGGGGUAUUCAAAGUGAAACUUGGCUUGCGUGUGCGCGCACACAAAGGAGACUGAGUUGGAUUGCAAAGUCUCUCAGACGGAAGGAACCUGUUUUAAAAACCCCUUUCUACAAUCUUGAGAAAUCUCAUGCAAGCAACUACACGCCGCAAGUCUUCGGUAUUGUUCGCAAGGAAUUUGAAAAGAUUGACUCCGCUUUUUUUCUUUUCGAGCAUGCCAAGCCUCCAGUAGAGCGGAGUUCUGUGCAUGAAGUAGGCGCAGUUUACAAACUAGUGAAUGGUCAAAUGAAUAGGCUCGUUUCAUCAGGGGUAACCAAGGAGUAAGAAUGAUUUGAUAAAGUAAACAUUACCUUUGAGUGCGGUUCCUUCAGAACAAGCUCUUCCCUUUUUAGAUUGCUUCUUUGGGCCACUUGAGCAUCGACUGGGCAAGGUUGGAUUCCCUCUACCUCGGGUGGCUACUAUUUCUCAACAAUGUUUUUUCAUUUGAUCCAAUAGCCCUCCGUUAGAUAGGAACAGCUUUGCUAAAUACUGAUAACUCUCGAAUAGAAUAUGAGAAGGGAAAGAUCCUUUACAUAAGGAACUAUUGAUCAUAGGCGUACACUCUGAAAAGAAUUGAAUGAAACUCUCUUGUUUCGUCAACUUUGAUAUCAUUAGCUGUCUCUGUAGCUGGCUCUCAUGUCUGGUGUUCCAAGUAAAAACUUUUCAACUAGCUGGGUCACCGCUGUUUUAAACCCUGACUUGGAAUCAGAGCCAUAAACGGGUGAUUCGGUCGGACGGACGAUUGAGUUCUUAAAGCUUGGAUCGGCACUUCUUGUGUUGAAACAAACACGCUGUUGCUAGCGCCCUCAACGCUCUCUUCGAUCCUUCGCAAACAUAGCUCCUUCUACGGGAGAUAACUUUCGAUCACUUUCAUCUCAAUUCGUUUCAUUGGCUGGUCGAGUGGAUGAUUAGACACAGGCGGAGUAUUCAAGUUGUCCCUACUUCAAGUUGUCCCUACUAACUAACGGGUCUAAUUAUCGCUGGCUCACAGGCUCCUUCGAAGCAAACAUUCGCUGCGCCCCUCGCAUUCAAGCUCUUGCUUUGUCCUGCGGCCUGCCCUCUAAGCAAAAGCAAGAUCUAGACAAGAGUGAAAAGCAGUCAGAAUAUUAAUAAUCUAAAAAGGCCUUCCUUGGUUGUGUAGCUAAUCCCCCUCCUUGACAAGAACAGAAUUUUUGCAUCCUCAAACUGGUUAUGGGUGAUACCCUCAUUCCCCAUUAACUCACUAGAAAGCCCUUUGAAUAAGCCUCAGGAACACCCAUUCCUUUCGGAUCAGGGGGUGGUUGUUUUAACUACUCGUUCGGGGAACAUUAGACAAAGUUACUUAUUUGAGAAAGUAAAUGAACCUGAAAUAGGACCUAUGUGAUAGUUUGCAGCAUGAGCAUGUAGAUGCUGGUUAUGGUAUCAGAUCUCAGGACCAAGAAUUUCAAAAGGAUAGUAUUAGACUCAAUAAGAAGCUUUCAAAACAUCACUUCUCAUAUUUGGUCUGUGGGCUACCACGCUUAAGCUUUCUUAUCUUACUCUUUCCACUAACGUUAGGACUUAGGCGAGCUGCUGAAUACGAGACACUUCUUUCUCGGCCGUGCGUGGUCUUCCCUCGGGGAUGGGAGAAUAUAGAAGGUGGGUGGGUGGAUCUCUAUUCUCCAUCAGGAUAGGGUUGAUUUGAUUGGCAUUCACGCCUUUUAGAAAGAGCCACUCAAUGCAAUUCUCUUUUAGGCGAAGAGAGUAUGCCCAACUGGAGUGGUUUCCGCCUAUAUUCCAACUAAUGUCAUCUCCAAGAUGGACAAAUCUUCUUAUCUGCGGAUCUAUUCCAUGCCGGAAUUCGACCUGCUAUUCAUGUGGGUAUUUCACUUUCCAGAGUAGGAUCAGCGGCUCAAAUGUGCCGCAAUGAAACAAGUAGCUGGCAAAUCAAAAUAGGAACUAGCUCAAUUCGCAGAGUGACAAGCCUAUUAUUCGCCUCUGCUCUCGAUAAAACUAGCCAGAAUCCAUUGUUUUUAUGACGGGAAUUGCUUAAACAAUCCCAAUCAAACCUUCUCCCAGUGGAAGAACAGAUAGCUACUAUAGCUACCGGAACGAUAGGAUAUCUUGAUUCGUUCGAAAUUGGACAGGUCAAGCUAUUUCUGGACUGGAUGAGUUACGUAAACACCUAAAAGAUACUCAUUCCAAGAAAUUCGAUCUUCUAGCCAGCUUCUAGCCAGGUGGAUAAGGAUGGAAUCUGGUAUCCAAGAAGAGGAUGUUGGACAUUCUUCAUCCCGGAGGGCCGGGGAGAGGAGAGAUAGCAUCACUCUGACUUUGCCGGAAGGAGGAAAAUCCAGAGUUGGCUUUGGGAGAAGAGAAGGAAGCUCUCAGGUUUAGUGAUUCAUACCUGUCCUGUCUUUUGUUUCCAGGGUUUCGAUUUCCGGUCCAGAGCUAGUCUACUUAUUUAUUUUAUACGGAAACGGAAUUUUGCAUAUUAUACGGAAUUUGUCAUACCAGGUUUUCCUAGAGUUGAGGAAUUCUAUCCAUUCCAGGAAAAGCACUGGUUUGAGAAACUACACUACAGGAAAGUACUAAGGAAUAGGAAGCUGCUACUUAUACUUAUGAUUCUUGUCCAAAGAUGCCAGGCCGAGACAGAAACCCAACUAGUGAAAUAGAACGGAUCUCUCUAAUAAACUGGGGUUCUUCUCUUCGGGUUGCUGGUAUCCUUAUAUGGAUCCGUCUUGUCUCCUCGGCUCGAUAAGCUAGCAAAGUCAGUUCGUUGGAUUGGUCUGUCCGGUCUGUCAGUCAGGAAAGCACGUCAAGUCGGUUAAUAGCUCUGGUCCGGUUUCUAACUCGGUGAAUUGGUAUGGUCUGGAGGCCCGGCAAUAACAAUAGCAGACAGGUCAGUUGUUCAAGUCCGUCUGGUUGAUAGGUCAGCUCGGUAUAGAAUCUUGUCUGGUUUCUGAAGUCGGUAAAGUCCAAUCAGUAGAGUGCCAGUUAAGUUCCUCAAGUAAGGAUCUUUGAUUCCUCCAAUUCGGUAGGUAAUCAUAAUAGUCUCGGCUCGGAAUGCGAAGAUGCUUCUAAUCUGUUAAAGGGAUCUAGAUCGCAUUUAUUUGAUAUGCGUCCCUUCUUCAACCCCGGAUGUGUACCUGACGCCAGGGAAUAACGUAGUUCUAAAGUAGUGACUCGUGUCUUGGAGGUCGUCCAUCCAAAUGUUCCUCUUUGCCAUUGCCCGCGUCUACUCCUAUAACCGAAUCGAUGGCCUAUAGCGCCAUGCCAUAAUGAAAUUCUUGAUCAUUUCUUUGUUCGUAACAUGGCGUAGUGUAUCACUGGGUGCCACAAUCCCAUUCAAUUCUUGUCCAUUCAAUACCAUGGAUAUAUCGAUUUCUAUUUUCAGAAAGCUCCUAUUUCGAUUGAUAUCUCUAGCAAAUAUAUGCGUAGCGUAUGUCAAGAUAAAGUAAAUCAAUCCGUAUGACGGCAGGGAGCGGAGGCAGCUUCAACUCAAGUGAGGAGCAAGCUUACCUCGGGCGGGUAGAUUGAUCGGCUCCUUCAUAUCUCAGGAUUUCGCUUAGGCCACCCAGGCCAUACCAUAGAAAAAAGAUCUGGUUUCCUUUCCCUCAUCAACCUGCCGCUGCCGUUCUUUUAUUUCACGAAAGAAUCUUUCCGUCCGUAUUGAGCAACUCAAAUUCCUAGAAAGCCGUUGGUGCACCCACCCAGUGAGUAACUACUAAUGCAGUGAGUAACUACUAAUGUUACGAACAAAGAAACUUUCCAAAAGUGGACCCAACAAGCAAAGCAACGGAUUGAGCUGCACUGCCUUUCGGCGUUUUAGUUAGGCGCAUCCUCUUGCGGGAUGAAAAUCUGCCAUAGCACGCUCCGCGCCUUUGAAGGAACAUUUGCUCGAUGAUGGUCCUAUCCUACGCGGGCUUACUAACGAUGGCCAAGCACGCAGUCAUUCCCGUUCUAUUUGAUAGGGGAAGCAAGCUAGUCAAAGAAGAAGGAAGCAUGGGUAUAGGUAAGUCUAGACAUAUUGACACGGGCGUAUACUGAAAUAGGCAUAAGGCCGCUAACGCUAAGGAGACAGCACCGCUUCUUUGUUCGUAACUAGGACAUGUAUUGAUGCUAGAGGCAGACUCCUGGCACUUAUCACUCCUUAGAUGAAGCAAGACAAGAGUGAGUCCGCUAAGGGACAAGUAUGACUAAAAAAAUGAUGGCAGAUUUUUAUGGAAACGAUUAUAUUUGAGUAUAUUGUCUCAUUGGGUUUGUCAUUGUCGAUAGCUAUUCUUGUCGCCGUUAGGGCGAUGAUCCAUCACAUAAAUGCUAUUAAUGUUGAAACACAAGUAACUGAUAUAUCCAAAGAUGUUCUUAAAGAACAAAUCAUUUCUCAAUUGGAAAUACUCUAUAAAGUCUAUAGAGAUACUACUGAGGGUGUGCACUUACCGGCAGGAGUCAAUCUCCAAGAAGUAAGCACACAUCUAUUUUUUGUAGACGAGAGAGUGAACCUUCUAAACAGUAUCUACUGUGAUCUUAUUGCAAAGGGAACUGGAAGUGAAUACUUUGGCCAAGUUAUACAAUUUCUUCUGGGAUAGCUUGUUGUGGGGCUUUCCGAAGGGUCGUUCUGAGAGUGGUCUCUUUUCUUUAAGGUUGCAUAUAUUGUAGGAGAAGGGAGGGAUCCAGGCCAGGUCUAAAAGUGCCUAGUUGGGUUUGGGACAAGAUCAGGAAAUAGUGCAUCUUAUAUAGUGGGUGCCAACUUGAUUGCUGCUGGGAUUGCUUGAUAGGAAACUUUGAUUGAUACGAGCAGAUGUGAAUGAAUUGAAAUAGUCAAUAGUGGUGAUAUGAUCCCGGUAUCUACACUCGGAUCUACUUCUGCUACCGAGACUGCUGCUACUGUAAAAGCAUCAGGAACGUGUCAAUUCACUGAAUAAAGUGCUCUUUCCAUUGAUUUAUGGAUGAAAUCACGAAAAAGAGAAGGAACCACCGAUUCUGCAUCAAAAACAGGGGUUCUGGAGCCAGUUUCUCAAAUCGUAAGUAGAUCCAAUCCAGGGCAGUUGAUAAGUGAGGUUCUCCGGUCGAAUGCAAAUAAGCCAGAGCGUAUCUCUUGUUUCGAGGAAGAAACAAACAUCCUGGUCUCAAUAGAUCUUGAUUCUAUGCAUGCGUCAGACACAUCACGAGCCGGAACAAACGAGUGCUUUCAACUCACGAGCCGGAACAAACGAGUGCUUUCAACAAUAAGCAAUACCCGAGCUUCCUUCUACCAACCAGGAUUCCGAUACCAAUUCCAAUCUGGCACAGCACAAGGAAGUAGCGCACCAGAAGAACCAAUACGAGAACCCUUCCUUCCAGCCAGAAUCUGUCUUUCUUGUCCUUUGCAUUCGAGGAAUGGGAUCUGCCUUGUGGAAACAAAAGCUAUUUGUUCGAGUCAAGCAAGCGGACAGUCAGCUAAGAAUACUGGAAGAGAACUCUCUAGCCCUGCACUUAAACUAGACUACAAAUCCGAAAAAACACUAGUUUUGGCCCAUAGCGAAAUAGAGUUUUUCUUCUCCGCGGACUCCCCAUGCUUGGCGCCAUAGGCUUUAGGACUUUUGGCACUAGGGAAUCAUACUUUGAUCAGAUCCGUGGACAGGCUCCCGAGGUCAAAUCGGAUUAUGGACUUUUCCAGCUAAGUGAAAACGCACUUCACUACUAGCAAAGAAGUCAGCUCAGGGCAGGGCCGGUGGUAAUCUCAGAUAGGAACUUGCCGGGAUCCUUCCAUACCUGCCAUCCACCACUACUACUGAUCGUUUCCCAGAACGAGCCAUACCUUUUCCCAGAAUGAGAAUACGGCUGAGGACGAAUAGCGGCGCCUAGCUUUAGUUUCCACACGACACGAUGGAUCUAUCACUCUCUUUAGCCAGGCCAUUCUCUAGAGGAGAGUUCCGAGAAUGAAUUCCAAUCUGGUACCAAUCGUAGAAAUCGUAUUGUAGAGUUCUUCUCACGCCUAGCACAGCUACAAGCAUUCCUCGAAUGCAGAGACAAGACGGAGGAUAUCUGAUCCCGCGGAACAUCUGCUACCAACUACGGAUUACCUUGUUUCCAUGAAAUCCAUGUUUCUGGCACCUUGGCCCCCUCUACCUACGAAAUUCUGAUUCCUAUGGUUGAAGAAAGUACAGCGUUGUCAAUUCAACCUGAAAAAAGGGGAAUAAGUUGACAAAGUCAGCUUGAAUAUUACGGUAUGGAUCAAAGGAAGCUAUACCCGCCUUGAUUUCUAUCAAAAUUAUUAGAUAGUAAAGCAGACAAGUCUGAAAUGGAAUGUUUGAUCGGUAUAUGUAGGGCUCUCAAAAGAGAAUCUAUUUCAGCAUAGUUGAUUUUCAGAAGCCAACUAGAACUUCGCAGCUGCCGUAUAGUUGAUUGUUCCCACCAGUUUCGUUCUCAUCUGGUCAGUUUCACGAAUGCAAGGAUUUACUACGACUCUCAGGUGUAAACCUUGGUCGUAUACAGCGGUGAACUAGCUAAAUAUAGCUAGAGGAGUAAUAUAGCUAAAUAUAGCUAUAGGGCAUUCCACAGAGGUGAAAUUCUCUCGGCAAAGCAGAACAAGAAGCAGCAGAAAGCAAAACAAUAUAAGGGUCGUUCGGAGUUCCAGGCACAAAACAAUUCUACAGAACUGGGUAUACCAAACAGUUGAUCAACAAGACAUAUUCACUUUGACCACAGCCACCCGCACUUGCCUACCCGACUGGCUAUUUUAGCUAUUCUCUCUUCAACCUUCCUCUAUCCUAAAAUAGUCGUACCGCUCCCCCUUUAGAGAUAGAUUUAUUUAUUCUCUAAGCUAGCUAAACGCCCGAAACAUAAUAAGCUAAGCCUCCGUCGAUUUAGCCAAAGCAGGCCUGGAGAAAAUAAUGGGAGUCAGUGUCCCUUAAACGCCUUGUUUCCUCUUCUUUACGGUGGCUUCUUCUUAAAUGAAAGAAGAUCUCUGCUGCGCUUAUGCCUUAAAACCCUAAAACUGUGGUUAUUAUGACACCAGGUGAAAUAGCUGCUUUUUCUUCUCUUCCUCCCCUCGACCUAUUGAAGUUGCGCUCACCCGCAGCCCUAAGCCCUACAGUUCCUUCGCUUACCGCCUAAUCUUAAUCUAUUGCCCUGCCUCCAAGAGAAGAAAUGGCACCAACCGAUACAAUGGCAGCUAGUUCCAGGGAAGCUGCUAUCAGGAACGGGCCCCAUCCUAGUUUGGCAACAUCAUGCUCUCCUCUGCCGCACUCCUCAUGCCAAUGACCAAGCGCAUGCACCGCAAAACGUCGGGAUCUUCUUGUAUUUCAGCGGAUCCCCGGCAAGUCAUUUACCGGUACUUUCUAUUUCAACUAUUGCUUAAACGCCUCACAUCCCGGAGUUGCUUGUCGGAUCAAUCUCUCGUAGACUAGGCCCCUAUGGUUAUGGCUUUGAGCUGUGAAUAAGUGUUAAGGAUUUCGCUUGACUGCAGCAUUUCGCUUCCUCCGUUCAUAAGAUGUGAGCCUGGCCCUUCCAUUCCUCCGCCUACCAAAUCUAUUCUGUCUCUCUCUUUUCUGUUCGCAACAAAGAUUUCUAAUAUCGUACCCCUGGGAAAGAAGUAUUUAUCGGCCCAAUAGAUUAGGCAUAUCUUACCCGCCUCAUGCCCAAGGGCUGUUGCUCAGUUCCUUCAUGUGCCGAAGUAGGCUUUGGCUAGUAGUAUUUUGUUCUGUCUUACGAUGGAAUGAAUCUUGUUUAUCUAUCUUUCAUGAAUAAAAGGCAGUCUUCAGCGUCUCUUCCUUUACAUGUACAGUCUGGCACUGGCUAGUACCUUGGUUCGUGGAUGGAGAUGAGAUACGACCACCACCUGAAGCUACUCGCCUGGAACUAUUCAUUCGUGAGCCACCUCUAGCUGGUUGUUAGAGUAUUGGCAGUUUAGUCUUGUGUAUGUUGAGCUCUGGUGCUGAAUGGGAUUCAUGGACUCCUACCGUGAUGGAGUACUUCUUUUGUGAGUUCAUGGCUGUUGCUGUAGUUCAGUAAAAUUACUACUCAAGUUACCCUCACGGAUGACACGAGUUGCAACAAUUGUCUAAUUGUUGGAGUCAGGUUAGCAGCAAUGAGCAAAGGCAAUUUAAGCAUUGCAUGGUCUGUAUUGAUGUCAACUCAGCUAUUCUGGAGUUUGUCUUUGAGCUCCCAUUUCGUUAUGCUGAUUUGGGUAAUCUUAAUCCCCGCUUGAGGGCACCGAAUGCAUACAGCUUCCCGAAUGCACCAGCGUGGGGACCCGCUGGCUCUCCAGGGGGGAAUAAUGUUGCACCUGAUGUUGCAAAUAAGGCCUACACCUCCCACUGUAGUAAGAGAGAUCCGGUUUCACAUUAUUUAUCUUGUGUCUGCCACUUCAACAAAAAAAGCUUUAUAGCUCAGUUGGUUUGCGAAGGAUUGGAUUGAUAACUGGUUGCAACAAUGCUAAAAUCUCUCUCUUACGACGGCAGGUUGGCCGGUUUCAACGACGUUACUAAGUAGUCAUGUUCACGUGGUCUCGCCCAAUGGCUCUGCUAUGUUAUCGAAAGAGAAUCUGUCAUUGCAUCAAAAGUAAAGAACAUUAUAUAAGCUAAUUUAAGAUCGAGAUUUCUAAUCAUGAAUCAAGUAUUUGAGUUAGACUAUAUACAACUUAAUUCGAUUGCUUUUUCAAGACUCUAAAAUCGGUUAAUUGGGUCAACUUAACUUACUCAAUUUCGAGCUCUUUCGUGCAAGCUGUUUUCUCGCAGCAAUCCAUACCUUUCUUUUCUUCAUUUUUUACGCGCAUACGUGAGGACACACGCGUAUUCUCUUUCUAAAAGGGGAAGCCAGUCUUUUUGGAAUUCCCCCGGUGUGCAUCACAGCUGCACACUCGUUUUAUCUUCAAAAGUGUGUCCUGCUGCAUUCGUUUUUUGAUUGAUCGGAAUUUUCGAUUCAUAAGGCAAUCCCUUUGGGCACCAUAGGGAAUGGAUACUGAAAACAUGAUGAAUGCAUCCGAAACCAGAUGAAUGCAUCGGUAAAGUGGAAUAAUUUCAAUGGAUUGUGCAUCUGAAUAGAAGGCGAAGCCGAUCAUUCCUUAUAUUUUGGAUCUGUUUAGUUUCUUUUUGAGUGCAUUCCUCAGAUUUCUUGUGCAUCUUUUCCUUAUAUUCCAUGAGGCGAAUCUCUCUAUUCCAGUGGUUUAGCUGCUUCUUUCUUCUUUUAACAAGUGGAUUCCUCCUCUUCUUAGAGGGUCAUAUCACUCUUUUGUGUUUAUGGUUUAUCACGCGCGUACGUGGGGACGCACGCGUAUUCUGAAUAGGGGGUCCGUCCAACCAGACAUCGCCGAAACCUCCAACUUUUACUUAAGCUGAGUCCACAGAAGAGGUUCCAUUGCAAAGCGAGAUCCAAGGGUUCGGGUACUAUGAGCAUCACAGCCUCAGGAUUCGCUCGGUGGAUCACCUGCGAGAUGUUAUUUUGUUGGAUUGGGCCACUACGGAGAUGAACUUGUCUGAAAAUCAAGCUCGACAAUGCCUAUUUCCCAAGAGCGAAUGUGAUUCUGCAGGAUUUUUAUAUAGGCGAAAAGGAAUGACAUUCAUUAUGAGGGACCAGGUUAUAGAGCUUUUUAGUAAGGGCAUGAGAACCUGUGAAUAGAGGAACACGAUACGGAUACGCAAUGGUGACUGCAGAAGCUCUUUCGACUGAAAUCCACCCUCACCAGUCGUCUCCUCCCCUUCAUAUGUGCUCGUGCUCCCUAGAAUAAUGGCUUGCAAGCUCCAAACGGGAAGUCAAUGAGGUAAUAGGGAAAAGGAACCGCCUACUUGCCACGAAUAAUGCAUCUCUUUUUGCCACUCUUGAUAGAUCUUAUACAAGAUGCCGACUCAUCCCCUUGCUUAGACAUGUCGAAGCCACUCCUCAUACCGGUAGUUCAGCUCUUGUUAUUCUUUCUAGAUCCGUGCAAGCGAAGCGGUUUGAUCAAUGAAAAGAAAACAUCGUGAUAUUGUGAUGCUUGGGUCCCCUCCCCACUAUAGGCACUGUCCCCGCCCUUGUUGCGUCUCAGGAUCCGCUAUCAGCAGAACUUGUCAAUCCGAUGCUGAAUGCACCCAUAUUCCAGAGGGUCAGUAGCUUGCUAUUGUCCGCCACUGAAACCCAUUAUUAUUCAAAGAUGAAUCAAUUGAUGGUGUGCCCGGAAUCGACAACAGAUAGACGGAGGAAGGCGCUUGCGACAUAGGUGGUAGUGAGUGGGAAGUGCUGCUAUGUUCAGCCAUGGCUUUCCCCUCUUGACCCAGAGCCUCCAUGUGUAACCUCCGAUCGAAAUGAAAUCACAAUAGUUCUUCAACAUUAAGACAAUGAUAUAGCUAGUGGCAAAGUAAAGGAAAAUCGCAUUGCUUAGGGCUCGAGAUGGAUAAGAUAGGCAGUCGCACCGUUACUCAUACAAGGCUAUGGCUCCACUCAUGUUUGUUGAUCCAGUUGCCCAUUUCACCCAGAAAACUUCCAUAUUCCACUUUAUUUUUAGAUAGAAAAGAAUUCGAACCAAUGAAUUCAUUCCAGAGAAGCAUUCCUGUAAGUUUAGUGCUCCUCCCCAGCACCAGUAUCCCAUCGAUUGGAUACCCUGAGAGCACUCUGCACUGAUUGAGAGUAUGAGUAUAGGUGUUUUGAAAGUCGAGAGGAAACUGUCAAGAACCUGACAGUAGCGCUUGCUAAUCACAGUUCUGGAUCCGGGGCAAGCAUGGGAUUGUCUGAAACAUAGGCAGAAUUGUCUGUUUUUCUCCAAUUUUAAGCAACUGCUACGCUAAAAAUAAUAAGAUGGUUCUAGGGGCAGCCUCGCCUAAUAACUCGUAAUAUAAAUGCGCUUAUGUCUGCGUCAAGGCCAUAGAAGCAGCAGUAUCGAAGUCGUCUGGUCUCUGAAUUAAAACAACAGCUCGAAUUUGCCUACUAAGUAAGACCUUCACCUCAAUAAAUAUAGUAGUUAAGGUAGUGAAGAAUGUAGGACCCAAAUCUGGCCUAUAAGCUAACAUGUGGUGCAUUGCAGCUUCCUCCACAAACGUUGGAUUACUUAAUGCACAAUGGCAAAACGGGAUGAAGAAUGUGCAAAUCUGGGGGACAUAAUAGGGGCUUUGUUUCAUCAUAGGGGUGAUCCAGAGAGCACCAGUCUAAGCCUACUGUUCUAAAUAAAUCUAUCUUGCAACGUUCAUUCAAUUUUGGAUCAUGUCAACGAGCAUUCGCCUCAGCUAUGGUACCAAAUCUGCUAUCGUUUCUGAGAAGUUUCAUUCCAGUCCCCGAUCGAAUCCAAUUGAGUGACUCCUGAAGCCAACCAACUCUUUUUCGAUAUUGUGAAUUCCUUAACUUUUUACUGGCUUGCUUGUUUGUAAGCUCCACGGGCGUGCCAAUUCCUUAGUGGGAUCCAACCACCAUUUACUUUCAUUCGAUCCAGCGGAGAAGAUGCGAUUAUGUAUCAUUUCGCCUAAGGCCAGACAGACUAAAAGGGGCUUUUGGAUACGAAGAAGGUUUUCACGUCUUGCUUUGGGUGGUAUGCUUCCUCACUGUUGCUAUUCUGCCCUUUCCCGGUAGUCAACCACCAACGAACGUAGGCUAGGACCUGCAUGUAAUGUUACAGCCUUGCCAAUACUCUACAGUCGUUACAUCAACAUGGGAUUGCAAAAGGGAGGGAAUUGAAAAAGGUGACUCCUCCUUAGUAGGAAUAGUAGCUGAGGCUGCUUCAACUCAUAACGAAGCUAUUCCAGCACAUAAGUCCGGGAUGAUCUGAGGUCGCUGGUCUCACAUGGAAGAGAUACGAACCUCCGCUGGAUAAACACCUCUUCUGGUAUCGGCUUCUUUUGUUCGUAACGAACAAGCAACGGAUUGGGGAUUGCCAAUAGAAAAAGAUACAACCAACCUUGUCUUUUGGAAACCUGGAUCACCCCCAUUGUAAAGAGAACACGGCACCCCUUUCCAUAGGGGCUCGCAAAGGUAUUAUACUGGAUGUGUGCAGAGAGCUAAUGAAACUCCAUUCCUUUUUCUCUAUACUCAACGAUCUACUAUAGCUUGCUUUUCCAUAGCCAACGUAUUGACCUGAUUCCCCAGGAAAGAGUUGAUGGCAUCUCAACGCAAGAAGGUAGAGAAGAAUCCCUAGCGCAGAUGUGCCGAGAGCGGGAAAGCCUGUCUUCCCCGAGAAGACAGUCUUCCUCUUAUUUCUUAUAUGAAUAACUGAAAUCAAUCCUCACUUGUAUUAACUUCAUGAGUGAAGAGAUAGAGAAACCCUCAAUACCGGCACUACUCCUAUCAAAAUCAAAUAAUUGGAUUUGUUUUCCCACUUCCUCCACGGGAUUCGUACAUCGGAUGAGGAUUCCUACAACGGUACAACGGAUCAAUCCAUUCAAAUCAAUGAAACCAUUAGGUACGCCCCGGGAUCUACUCUAUUUUGAGAUUUGCUAAUGCCGAGAGACUAUCGAAAGCAAAGCGAAGGUUCUUAUUCCAUAGUUGUUGCUGGUAAAGGAACAACUGAACGGGUAUCUUUUGCAAAGCAAAGGCUUUGGUUGAAUCGUAUUGAGUUCCGGGUAGUAGAGUCCUCGGCUUCGAUUCUUUCCAACAACGGUACGGUUGACUUUCGAACAACGGCCACGGUGUAGGUUCGUACUCGAUUGAUCGGCUUCCUUCCUAUUAGCUUGCCAUGUUUCCCCAAUCUGUUUGCUUUCACCAAUUUAGGUGCCACAAAUGUUUCCUUUUCCAGACAGUUUGCUUUAAGCAGGAAAGCUGGCCUGUGACUUGCCUUGCUUCCGACUCUAAACCGUUCUAAACAGAUUCUUUCUGCAUACUGAUGUUGGCAGUUAUGCCUAGGUGAUAGAUGUAUGUUGCUGGAUUGGAAAGCUAUACGAUCCCUUUUAUUCAAUUAUGACAGCUGAGAGGAAUUGGGGAUGGCCCCGCUAGAGUUUCCAAAAUGAAUCGAAUUUAACCCUAUUGUUUUUUCACUAAAAAUUCCAUAGUAUCAAUACAAUAACCUUUGAGAAAUUGUGAGAACGGGAAGAUGCAAUCAUCUAGAGGGUGAAAAUAGCCGAGAGUUGAGCAACCCCUAAAAGCACUCACAAUGAAUGGUACCAGCGGAUACCAACCAGAUAGAAACAUGCUGAGAAAUCUCUGUUAUAGCUGAAACUAAUAUACCAAUCCUAUCCGUGACCCUUUCCACAUUCUUUUCUUAGUCACCUAACCUAUGACUGCUUUUUCUUUUAAGCUUUAAUAACCUUAACAUUCGAAUCUGCAUCUGCUAUUUCAGCUCUAUCUAAAGAUACUAUACUAUUCUUUGAUCACUUGAAACAUAGUAGAAAGCAUCUAAAACAGAUAUUUUUGUGGAUUCCCUCUCCUUGUGGGCUGGACUCCUUUUUACAUGGACAGACAGGAAAGUGGAAUCUGAGGAAUUAGCUGGAACAGACUCACCUUAGCUUUGAACGACUAUAUCCCCUCUUCUAUCUACAUAUGGAUAUAUAUGGUCUUUAAUAAAGGAAGAUGAUUUUAGCCGAGGACUAACACAGCUUCCAUUUUGCAGCACAUCUCUCAGUGGGAAUAGCAUCAUCCAUGACUUCAGGCACAGCUAGCUACGGGUAAGCACAAAAGGUAAUGACGAGAGGGCCGUCCUAUGUACCCUGAAAGAUAAACUAUGUGAUAGAAGCCCGCUUUCCCACUCUUCUAUCCCACCUAUCCACAUAGGGUAUCAGUGGCCUCGUGAUCUCCAUGAACAGAGAUCACUACACAAAAACUGCUUAUGUUUCCAAAGUGAAGGGAUUAGGCUUAGAAAGAAGCCCCGCUUUAGUUGAAAAAACAGCUAAAGCAAUUGUUGUCCCCGUCCCCACACCUAUCUCUAUGAAACUUCCUUCAUAGUUAGGAGAGGUUUUUUGUCUCUUUUACCGCAGGAAGUUCUCCAAAAGUAUGAAAGGCGGGAGGGCUUUGUACCAACCAUUCUAGUGUGGUUGGAUUCUGUUCAACAGCCCAAGGACUUUCCGCACAUUUUUUGUUCUUUCCACUGCUUGAAGUGAUUGCGACAACUACGAAGAAACGACGAAUCCCAACUACGGAUACUUUCCAGCACAUUGGGAUCCUANNNNNNNNNNNNNNNNNNNNNNNNNNNNNNNNNNNNNNNNNNNNNNNNNNNNNNNNNNNNNNNNNNNNNNNNNNNNNNNNNNNNNNNNNNNNNNNNNNNNUUUUCAAACAUGAUUGAAAAUAGCAUAUUCAGAUUCCUUGAAUUUUUCUGAUACUUUUUCAUAUAUAAAUUAUUUUCAUUGGAGUUACAGAUUAAUUUCUAUGAAUUUUUGAAGUUUUUAAACAAUUCUCGAAUUAUUUCUAUACUGGAAAUUACUUUUACUGCAUCAGCAUGACGUCAGCAGGUCCAACUGGCCGUUGAAAGUCAAACCUGACCAGUGGGACCCACUGGUCACUCUCUCUGGUCAAUUUUAGAUUAGGAUUAAUCUUAUUUAGUUAAUUAAACCCACUGGACCCACAUGUCAGUGACUUAUUAACUUAUUUGAUUUAUUUUUAUUAUCUUUAAUCUUGCCAGAGGCUGGCCCCACCAGUCAGUGGCUCAGGCCAGCCGGGAUCCACCGGCGGCGAGGUCGUCCUCGCCUGCGGGGAGCCUCCGGCGAGCACCAGAACCUCGGGGGGGGGGGCUCGGAAAUGGCGCACAGGGGGCCAAACGCUGCGCGGAGAGCACCAGAGGAACGACACAUCUCCCGCAGCUCCAUUUCUGCACUUAGCCGGGGCUGAUCUGGCCAGAGAUGGCGCCGGCGACGAGCUCGGCGGCGGCCAAGGCUCGGGCGUCAUCGGGUUCUUUGAUACGGAGGGAACUACGCACGGUUCUUAGUUCCUACAACAUCUACGCGACGGCCUGAAGCUGCUGGUGCCCUCGGAAGGACGAGCUGAUCACCGGAGGGUUACCGGCGACGAGCUGCAGCGGCGGAUCUUAUCGGGCUCCGGCGGAACUAGGCCUAGAGAAAGGGAUCGACCGGGAGAUCUUAGGGGAAAUGACCGCAUGCUCACGGGGAGUGCAGUGGUGGUGCUAGUCUGCUCGGGGACGGCCUGGAGAGGGAGAACGUCGGCGGUGAUCUUCGGUGACCCGAGGAAGAAGAUGAUAGCUGCUCGCCGAUUCACUGCAUCUGGGCGUCGGGCUCGUGGCUAGGAAGCUUCAGGGGGUUGCGGCGGAGCUAAUGCGUGGCUCAGAAGGAAGGAAGGUCGGCUAGAACGACGACGAGCUCGAGCUCUGCUCGGGCUCCAAUGGCGGCAGAAGGGGGAAGGAGAGAUCCGAGAGGAGGGGGGGNAAUAGUGAUGAGCUUAGGGCCAGCACGGCCAGGUCAGCCUACGCAUCACUCCUGUCCAUACCGGAUUUCUAAAACCGAUGAAGUCAUGACAAUGAAAGAUUGGAAAAAAAAUGUAUGGUCUAUCGUAGAGAGAUACUUGGAAGCAACAUUGUGCAUAGGCCAAGAAUUGGAGACAGGAUGAUCUCCAUUCUCCAUAAUGGAUAGUUAGUGCCUAUCUUCUUUUAUGAUAUUGUACCUAAUAGAGGGUAGAGUAGGUCCUAUGAGAGAGGAGUAUGUCCUAGGUACAAUGUGUUAUUAUGUGCUACAAUGUGUUAGAGUUGACGAUGAUGAUGAGGAGGAGUUGUGAUUAGGACUAGUGACCAACUUGUUAUAUGAUGUCUCAUUGACGAAAAUGAUGAUUAAAUAGUGUUGGUGGUAAUGACUAUGAUGAUUAUUAGCUAUAGUGAUGCAAGAGUUUUUAUAUUAAUAUGAUGAUGAUGUUGAUCAUGAUUAUCAUGAUGAUUUGUUAUUAUGAUCAUGAUUGGUUAUUAUAUAAUUGGGGGAAGGAAAGCGGAUUAGAUUCAUGUGGAUGGAUCAAAAGUGACCAAAAGUUGAAUUAGUAGGAUUCUUGUCCUACUAAUUCAACUUUUUAUCACUUUUGAUUCAUUUGGAUGAAUAAAAUCCAUGUUUCUUCCUCACAAUGAUAUAAUAAUUCAUCAUGAACAUAAUGAUAAAACAAAGUCUUAAUUGGUGUUGUAUCAAAAUUUGUAUAACGGCGUAUAAAUACACUAAAAAUUAAAAAUAAUGAAAAAAAUAUUACUAGUAGCGCGGGUUUGCAAGAACGCUACUAAUAGUUGUCUUAUCAGUAGUGCUGGUAUGAUACACGCUACAACUAUAUGUCUUAGCAGUAGCGCGUCUUACACGCGCUGCUGGUAAGUAAUAGCUCCCGCGCUACUAGUAGGUUUUUCCCUAGUAGUGGACACUUCUCUCUAUUAGGUAGCUAACACAAUAUGAAUGUCAGGACCCCGAUCCUAAGUCAUAGGAAUCCAGCAUGUAACACAUCGCAUCCCUUUGCGGUCUCACGCAUGGUUAACACCACGGUUGCAGCCUUACCUUAGCCGGGACCGUUUGCGUCUUUUGACUCACGUAUGCAAUAGUGUCGCUAGCAUUCCAAUGUCAAAGAACCCGGAUCAACAUGUCCAAUCAUAAACCAAAGUGGCAGUACCGAACAAGGACAGGCAUACAUGACCCAACAAAGCAGGUGUCGGUCAUCAGCGAAUGUAGACAAGUCGUAGCAAGCUACAAGGACUCCAUUACAUCGCGUGACAUUUCCCAAAGGGGACAGACACGGUAGCUAAGAAGGACACAUGUCGGUCAACCAAUGUGUCCGGAGCAGUAGUGAACUACCAAGGCUUAUUGGAUCACAAAGGGGCAUUUCCUUGUAAGGAGUGCUACUAAAGUUCACGACUAGGUAAUCGAACCCCAUACAUAUCAAGCACGACACACGUACGCAUGCCAUACCGAUAUGUAUAGAUACAUCAAUGGCAUCACAACAUAACCAUAAACAUACAAGCUUUACUUAAGAGGCUCAGAAGAGCCACAUACAUAAUAUUACACAUUAAAGGUCUCACGACCCAUAAUAACAGUCAUGCAGUUACAAGCCAGCGGAAGAGUUUAAAACUGUCUGAGUACAGACAGGGCAACUAGAAGGCACAUGGCCUGACUAUUGUUGGGAAACGUCGCAUGGGAAACAAAAAAUUUCCUACGCGCACGAAGACCUGUCAUGGUGAUGUCCAUCUACGAGAGGGGAUGAGUGAUCUACGUACCCUUGUAGAUCGCACAGCAGAAGCGUUAGAGAACGCGGUUGAUGUAGUGGAACGUCCUCACGUCCCUCGAUCCGCCCCGCGAAAAAUCCCGCGAUCAGUCCCACGAUCUAGUACCGAACGGACGGCACCUCCGCGUUCAGCACACGUACAGCUCGACGAUGAUCUCGGCCUUCUUGAAACAGCAAGAGAUACGGAGAGGUAGAAGAGUUCUCCGGCAGCGUGACGGCGCUCCGGAGGUUGGUGAUGAUCUUGUCUCAGCAGGGCUCCGCCCGAGCUCCGCAGAAACACGAUCUAGAGGAAAAACUAUGGAGGUAUGUGGUCGGGCAGCCGUGAGAAAGUCGUCUCAAAUCUGCCCUAAAAGCCCCAUAUAUAUAGGAGGAGGGAGGGGGACCUUGCCUUGGGGUCCAAGGGAUCCCCAAGGGGUCGGCCGAGCCAGGGGGGAGGACUCUCCCCCCCAAACCGAGUCCUACUUGGUUUGGUUGGAGGGAGUCCUUCCCCCUUCCCACUUCUCCUUUUUUUUCCUUUCCUUUGAUUUUUUCUCUCUUGGCGCAUAGGGGAUUGGUGGGCUGUCCCACCAGCCCACUAAGGGCUGGUGUGACCCCCCCAAAUGCCUAUGGGCUUCCCCGGAGUGGGUUGCCCCCCUCCGGUGAACUCCCGGAACCCAUUCGUCAUUCCCGGUACAUUCCCGGUAACUCCGAAAACCUUCCGGUAAUCAAAUGAGGUCAUCCUAUAUAUCAAUCUUCGUUUCCGGACUAUUCCGGAAACCCUCGUGACGUCCGUGAUCUCAUCCGGGACUCCGAACAACAUUCGGUAACCAACCAUAUAACUCAAAUACGCAUAAAACAACGUCGAACCUUAAGUGUGCAGACCCUGCGGGUUCGAGAACUAUGUAGACAUGACCCGAGAGACUCCUCGGUCAAUAUCCAAUAGCGGGACCUGGAUUCCCAUAUUGGAUACUACAUAUUCUACGAAGAUCUUAUCGUUUGAACCUUAGUGCCAAGGAUUCGUAUAAUCCCGUAUGUCAUUCCCUUUGUCCUUCGGUAUGUUACUUGCCCGAGAUUCGAUCGUUAGUAUCCGUAUACCUAUUUCAACCUCGUUUACCGGCAAGUCUCUUUACUCGUUCCGUAAUACAAGAUCCCGCAACUUACACUAAGUUACAUUGCUUGCAAGGCUUGUGUGUGAUGUUGUAUUACCGAGUGGGCCCCGAGAUACCUCUCCGUCACACGGAGUGACAAAUCCCAGUCUUGAUCCAUACUAACUCAACUAACACCUUCGGAGAUACCUGUAGAGCAUCUUUAUAGUCACCCAGUUACGUUGCGACGUUUGAUACACAUAAAGCAUUCCUCCGGUGUCAGUGAGUUAUAUGAUCUCAUGGUCAUAGGAAUAAAUACUUGACACGCAGAAAACAGUAGCAACAAAAUGACACGAUCAACAUGCUACGUCUAUUAGUUUGGGUCUAGUCCAUCACGUGAUUCUCCCAAUGACGCGAUCCAGUUAUCAAGCAACAACACCUUGUUCAUAAUCAGAAGACACUGACUAUCAUCGAUCAACUGGCUAGCCAACUAGAGGCAUGCUAGGGACGGUGUUUUGUCUAUGUAUCCACACAUGUAAAUGAGUCUUCAUUCAAUACAAUUAUAGCAUGGAUAAUAAACUAUUAUGUUGAUACAGGAAUUAUAAUAAUAACUAUACAUUUAUUAUUGCCUCUAGGGCAUAAUUCCAACAACUAUACUAUAGAUCCAACGUAGGGCCAGAUCGUAGCUGGGACACCAGCUACGCGUCGUCGUCGAUGUCUACGAAGAACCCUUCAUUAGGGUCAUUAGCAACCUCUGCAACAUUUAUUAAGCAAACAUGAGUACGAAGGUACUCAGCAAGACUUUAGGAUAACUAACUGCUCAUGCAAGGUAUCAAAAGGUAGUGUGGGGUUCCAUGCGGAAAGCCAGCAUUUGACUCGUGGCUAGACAACUUGCAUUUUUAAAUAAUUUUUGACAACUUGAUUUCUCGCACACGAGUCCACUAACACCACAACAAUACACUAUCGUGGAAUCAUUCCGUCUCCAUAUGGAAAUGCCGUCCACGACACUCACGCUUAUCUUGGCAAUUCUAUGAGUAGCCAUUGAACUUGUCUAUGAACAACAUAUGUCUCCAAGUAGUCCAUAUCCGCGGACACGGCUAUUCGAAUAGAUCAUAACCCUGCAGGGGUGUACUUCGUCACACACGCUCUCGCCACUUAUCGCCAUGUGCACGUCAUGCACCUCGGCAACCUUCAAGAGGAAGCCCAGUGAGGGAGUCGGCCACGACCGUUAACCUCACUAGUACCUAGUCCAGGUUUAUCGCCUAUCUGAGAGUAACCCGUACGGAAGUCCGGCCGAGGUUUCCGCCACGGCCUCAAACGAUGUGCGCAGGGUUCCCAAGCCCACCAUCCGGGUGCCACUUGGUACACCGUGCCACUACCUACCGCAUCACGGCCCACCUCUCAGGUCAGCACCAUGCACGGCCUCCAGCAUUACUAUAAACACCAGAAACUACUUGGAACUCCUGGACCGAGUACUAAGCGAUUAAUAAGUCGAGAGGGUCAAUUAAGUAUCCCAACGUGUGGUAGUAUAUAGUCUUGGAUUUCAUACACGGAACUCAGUUCCUAAGGACGGUUCCAAUGAAACAACCCGCCAUGUACUCCUACACAGCCUUUCACCUGUACCUUUACCAAUCAGGUUCAACACACAACCUUUGCCUACCGAACACAUUCUCACAAUUCUGUUCAUCUCCCAGAUGACAGACCAUACACGACUCUAAGCAUAGCAUGCAUAGCAGGAUAAGGCACAACAUAGCUCAAGCAACUAUCAGGUAUGCUAGGAUGCAAGGUUCGGCUAUUUACUGUGACAAGGUUAGGUCAUGCAAAGGAAGUGGGUUCAACUAAUCGUGGCAAAAGCAGUUGAAGCAUUUGAUCCUAAUGCAAUAAAUAAGUACAGGAGCAAGAACAUGGGAUUUAUCGGGAUGAUCAAAAGGGUUGCUUGCCUUGUUGCUCAGAGGAGGGACAAUAUCCGUCAGACGGAUAUUCGGUGGAAUCCGGGGGAGCGGAGCCUACCGAAAGGAAUGGCAGCAAUCAAUAACAAUCAUAUGCAAACAAGAUGAUGCAUGAGCAUGGCAUGAGAAUGCAAGGUCAUAUAUUAUUAUAAUCAACAUGUAUUAGGUUUGAAGUUGAUUUGAAUCACAUUCAAUUAUCAAUUCAAACGAGGUAUUCUCGGAUACCGAUUUAAUUGAUUCGACCUGAUGCUUAGAUCAAAUUGAUGUUAACAUGCAUGAUAUGUCAUGUUAAGGUACUGAUUAUAAUUAGGACAGUGUGUGAUCAUGUAAUUUCAUAAUGAAAUUUGUAUAUUUUCCAAAUUCCAUUUAUAAAGUAAUUAUAAGAAUUGACUUAAUCAUUAAUCUACAUGUUUGGGUUUUAUAACCUUUUCAAACAUGAUUGAAAAUAGCAUAUUCAGAUUCCUUGAAUUUUUCUGAUACUUUUUCAUAUAUAAAUUAUUUUCAUUGGAGUUACAGAUUAAUUUCUAUGAAUUUUUGAAGUUUUUAAACAAUUCUGGAAUUAUUUCUAUACUGGAAAUUACUUUUACUGCAUCAGCAUGACGUCAGCAGGUCCAACUGGCCGUUGAAAGUCAAACCUGACCAGUGGGACCCACUGGUCACUCUCUCUGGUCAAUUUUAGAUUAGGAUUAAUCUUAUUUAGUUAAUUAAACCCACUGGACCCACAUGUCAGUGACUUAUUAACUUAUUUGAUUUAUUUUUAUUAUCUUUAAUCUUGCCAGAGGCUGGCCCCACCAGUCAGUGGCUCAGGCCAGCCGGGAUCCACCGGCGGCGAGGUCGUCCUCGCCUGCGGGGAGCCUCCGGCGAGCACCAGAACCUCGGGGGGGGGGGCUCGGAAAUGGCGCACAGGGGGCCAAACGCUGCGCGGAGAGCACCAGAGGAACGACACAUCUCCCGCAGCUCCAUUUCUGCACUUAGCCGGGGCUGAUCUGGCCAGAGAUGGCGCCGGCGACGAGCUCGGCGGCGGCCAAGGCUCGGGCGUCAUCGGGUUCUUUGAUACGGAGGGAACUACGCACGGUUCUUAGUUCCUACAACAUCUACGCGACGGCCUGAAGCUGCUGGUGCCCUCGGAAGGACGAGCUGAUCACCGGAGGGUUACCGGCGACGAGCUGCAGCGGCGGAUCUUAUCGGGCUCCGGCGGAACUAGGCCUAGAGAAAGGGAUCGACCGGGAGAUCUUAGGGGAAAUGACCGCAUGCUCACGGGGAGUGCAGUGGUGGUGCUAGUCUGCUCGGGGACGGCCUGGAGAGGGAGAACGUCGGCGGUGAUCUUCGGUGACCCGAGGAAGAAGAUGAUAGCUGCUCGCCGAUUCACUGCAUCUGGGCGUCGGGCUCGUGGCUAGGAAGCUUCAGGGGGUUGCGGCGGAGCUAAUGCGUGGCUCAGAAGGAAGGAAGGUCGGCUAGAACGACGACGAGCUCGAGCUCUGCUCGGGCUCCAAUGGCGGCAGAAGGGGGAAGGAGAGAUCCGAGAGGAGGGGGGGCACUGGCGCUGCGAAUGGAUAGGGGCGGCCUCGGGGAGCUUAUCCCCGGCCUUGCGAGUGCGAGGCGGCGGCCAGGCAGGCGCACAGGUGCGUGGAGGCGCGCGGCGACGUGGCGGCCACCUCCUGCUCCUACUGGCGAGGAGGGAGACGACAGGAGGAGCUGGGCUGGGCCGGCUAGGCGACAGGUAAGGUUUCCAUUUUUUUUCUUUUGUUCUGUUUCUGUUUUAGCUAUUUCAAUAACUUGCUAUUUAUUUCAGCUCCAAAAUGGGUUGUAAAAAUAAUUUUAAACACACCUGAAUAUUUGUUGGAAUAUUCCCAACCAUUUCCAAAGUUUUCAACAUUUUUGAAAAUUUAAAGUUUCUGAUUUCAAAUUUAAAAUUUGAAACCAGUGGCUUUUUGCACUUAUUGAAAAUGCUUAAAGUGUCAAGAAAAAUGUUUUCUUCAUUGCUCAUUUACUUUCAUGAUUUAUCAGAAAGUUUGAACUUUUCUUGAGGCCAUUUUGGAUUCAUUGAUUUUAACUAGUUUGAGAUUUCCUUUAUUUAAAGUAAUGGCUAGGGUUUUGAGUUUUCCUUCACCUCUUUCUUUGAUCUUGUUGAAGAUUCUUGGAUGCAAAUGCAAAGAAGACAUGAGCACAAGACUAACUUGCUUAAGGUGUCAGGGAUGUGACAACUCACCCCCACUCAAAAGAAUCUCGUGCCGAGAUUUAGAAGUCGUCGGAAAUAACGCAGGAUACUCAAGUCGGAGACGAUCCUCUCUUUCCCAAGUUGCAUCCUUUUCAGAAUGAUUUGACCAUUGAACUUUAAGAAACUUGAGGUUUCGACGUCGAGUGGUACGCUCAGCUUAAUCAAGAAUACGCACGGGGUAUUCUCGGUAUGAAAGGUUAUCUUGGAGAUCAAGCAUUUCGUGGUCCACUUCACGGAUAGGAUCCGAAAAGCAACGCCUGAGUUGCGAGACGUGAAAACAUCAUGAACCUUGGAAAGAUGCGGAGGAAGUUCCAACUGGUAUGCAACUUCUCCUCGUUUGGCAAGAAUGCGAAAAGGACCAAUGUAACGAGGAGCCAACUUGCCCUUGAUACCGAAUCGAUGGGUACCCUUCAAAGGUGUAACCCGGAGGUAAGCCUUCUCGUCAACUUCAAAGGUCACAGCCUUAUGAUGACGAUCAUAUUGGCUCUUUUGACGAGACUGGGCUGUUUUCAACUUUUCACGAAUGAUGCAAACCUGCUCUUCUGCAUCCUGGAUCAUAUCCGGGCCAAAGAGUUGCCUCUCUCCGGUUUCUGACCAAUUAACAGGUGUUCGACAUCUUCGUCCAUAGAGAACUUCAAAAGGGGCUUUGCCCAAGCUUGAUUGAUAACUAUUGUUAUAAGCAAAUUCGGCGAAUGGAAGACACUUGUCCCAAUUCAUUCCGAACGAUAUAACACAAGCUCGGAGCAUAUCUUCUAGGAUUUGAUUCACUCUUUCUACUUGACCACUUGAUUGGGGAUGGAAAGAAGUGCUAAAAGAUAGAUGAGUCCCCAUGGCAUUCUGAAAACUUUCCCAGAAGCGAGAAGUAAAGAUACUCCCACGGUCCGAGUUAAUCUCCAGGGGAACACCAUGAAGAGACACUAUUCGGGAGAUAUAUAACUCUGCUAGCUGGCUAGCUGUUAUACUCUCACGAACAGGAAGAAAAUGAGCCACUUUGGAAAGACGGUCAAUGACCACAAAGAUAGCAUUAUUCCCUUUCUUGGUCUUGGGAAAUCCGGUAAUGAAAUCCAUACUAACUUUAUCCCAUUUCCAUUCAGGAAUAGCUAGAGGUUCAAGGGUGCCAGCAGGCCUUUGAUGUUCUGCCUUAACUCGACGACAAACGUCGCAGUUAGCGACGAACUCAGCAAUUUCUCUCUUCAUCCUAGUCCAUCAGAACAUCUGGCAUAGGUCCUGAUACAUCUUAGUACUACCGGGAUGAAUGGUGAGAGGAGAAUCAUGAGCCUCCUUAAGGAUCAAUUGCCGCAGACGUUUGCUCUUGGGAACCACUAAACGGUUCUGAAAGAACACAACACCUUUCUCAUUGAUGGAGAAAUCCCUAGUGUUGCCGCUAGCAAUAUUCUCCUUGAUCCGGGAUAUACCCUUAUCAUAGGCCUGCACGGCUAUGAUUUGAUCCCUAAGAGUAGGCUUCGCCACCAGGGUAGAAAGGAACCCUUGAGGAACAAUAUGAAGAUUCAACUUCCGAAAGUCCUCAUAGAGAUGUGGUUGACCUUGUUGUAGCAUCAAAUUGUUACAAUAAGAUUUACGACUCAGUGCAUCGGCCAUUACAUUGGCCUUCCCCGGGGUGUAAGUUAUCCCUAAGUCGUAAUCCAAGAUCAACUCAACCCACCGUCUUUGCCUGAGAUUCAAAUCCGGCUGGGUGAAGAUAUAUCUUAGACUUUGGUGAUCAGUGAAUAUUUCGCAACGAUUACCCAAAAGGUAAUGUCGCCAGGUUUUUAGUGCAUGGACCACAGCUGCAAGCUCAAGGUCAUGUGUGGGAUAAUUAUCCUCAUGUGGACGCAACUGUCGAGAUGCGUAUGCGAUCACAUGACGAUCUAGCAUGAGAAUGCAAACUAAUCCUUGUCGCGAGGCGUCGGAGUAGAUAACAAAGUCCUUAGAAAAAUCUGGUGGUAGCAACACAGGUGCGGAAGUCAGGCUUCUUUUCAGUUCCUGAAAACUAUGCUCACACUAUGGUGUCCACUCGAACCUUUUAUGUUUCUUGAGGAGUUCAGUUAGAGGCUUUGCAACCUUGGAGAAAUUCUCGACGAAGCGGCGACAAUAGCUCUCUAGACCAAGAAAACUCCUAAGUUGCUUAACCGAUUCAGGUUGACUCCAAUCAAGGACAGCUUGAACUCUCUCGGGAUUGACAACAAUACCCUUACCAGAGAUUACGUGUCCUAGAUAGGUCACUUCUGGUAACCAAAAUUCACAUUUUGAAAAUUUGGCAUAAAGGCGAUGCUCUCGAAGUUUCAUCAAUACCAGCCUUAGAUGCUCGGCAUGUUCUUGUUCGUUCUUUGAGUAGAUGAGAAUAUCAUCGAGGUAUACCACGACGAACUUAUCCAAAUACUCCAUGAAGAUUGAAUUCAUCAGUCGAGAGAACGUGGCUGGGGCAUUGGUUAAACCGAAGGACAUGACGGUGUACUCGUAUUGGCCAUAAUGAGUAACAAAAGCUGUUUUUGGAAUGUCCCCGUUUUUGAUCUUGAUUUGAUGGUAUCCCAACCUCAAAUCCAUUUUGGAGAAGAUUGAGGAUCCAGCGAGCUGAUCGUACAGGUCGUUGAUCCUGGGGAGCGGAUACUUGUUCUUUAUGGUGACCAGAUUAACUGGUCGGUAAUCUACAACCAUCCGAUCCGUUCUGUCUUUCUUCUUGACGAAGAGGACGGGACAAGCCCAAGGAGAAGAGCUAGGACGAAUGAAACCUUUGUUCAAGGCCUCAUCUAAUUGCUUCUUAAGUUUGGCUAGCUCCAGGGGUGCCAUCUUAUAUGGUCUUCUGGCUAUUGGGACAGUUCCCGGAACAAGAUCUAUUACAAACUCUACAUCUCUGUCAGGUGGAAUUCCUCGCAGUUCCUCUGGAAAAACAUCCGGGAAGUCACGGACUACCGAAUGUCUUCGAGUUUCGGAAGAGGGUUGGCAUUCAAGGAAUAGAGUUGGCAUUUGGCAACUCGAGUAGAGACAUUUACUAUCUCACCCGAGGGAUGGAUAAGCUGGACAUUUCUAGAAUGAGUAUCAAUCUUGGCAUAGUGAGCUGACAUCCAGUCCAUGCCCAAGAUGAUAUUAAUAUCCGAAGAUUUCAAGGCUAUCAAUGAGGCUAGAAAACUAGCCUGUCUACUAGAAUUUCAUUGUCAUAGGUUAUCCUAGAGGUUUGCCAUUUACUACCAGGAGUUUGGACAACCAAUGGAAUUGGCAUAUCACAAAAAGACAUGUUAUGCAACUGUGUAUAACUUUCUGAAAUGAAGGAAUGAGAAGACCCAGUGUCAAAGAGAACGGACGCUGGGUGAUGAUUAACAAGAAGCGUACCCAGCAUGACGUCGGGAUCCUCUGCAGCUUCUUCUGCUGACACAUAGUUCACACGGCCACGUGCAGGAGUUGGCUUCACAUAGUAACCCUUGCCCGACUUGGCGUGCCCGAUGGAUUUUCCGGGUUGCUUGGCACCCACAUUCUGAGGACACUCACGGGAAUAGUGCCUUGGUUCUCCACACUUGUAGCAUAUCACUUGAUUGGCACGUGGUGCAGCAUUGCUAGCUGGACCACCAUAAGCUUUUGCUGGAGGGUUGGCCUUAUUCGUCUGAGGCGCCACGUAGGAUGGCCUCGGAGUAUAUCUUGGCGGCAGAGAACUGUUCGGAACCCACAGCCUGCGUUUUGGAAAUGCGGAACCCGAAGACGAGCCAAAGUCACGGGAGUGCUUCCUUGUGGCUUCGAAGUCAGUAUGACCAGUCUCAGCACUGAUCGCUUUGUUGACCAGGGCUUGAAAGCUUGCACACUCAUGGAGGCGCAGACCACGACGAAGCUCAGGGAUCAAACCCUUACGGAAUCUUUCUUGCUUCUUGGCGUCAGUAGACACCUCCUCUGUUGCAUAGCGGGCGAGGUUACCGAACUCGCGGCUAUAGGCAUCCACAGACAACUUGCCCUGAGUGAAGGCACAGAACUCCUCUCUCUUUCUGUCCAUCAGGCCCUCUGGAAUAUGGUGCGGACGAAAGGCUGCACUGAAGUCUGCCCAUGUGGCUACUGGUUCAGCGGGACGCAUAGCUUCGAAGUUCUCCCACCACAGAUUGGCGGGUCCUUCCAGGAAAUACGCCGCAAAGGUUACCUUGUCGGCCUCAGACACAUUCGCAGAGCGAAUCUUGCGUGAGAUGCUGCACAGCGAGUCAUCAGCGUCGAGGGGAUCGACGGAAUGAUGAAACUUUGGAGGAUUCAACUUCACAAAGUCGUUGAGGGACACUGCAGCAUUCCCAGGCUGACGAGCCGUAUUCUGCUCAAUACGCUCUAACACUCGAUUGGUCUCCCUUUUGUUUCUUUCUGCCUCAAGCAUCACUUCCACCAGAGAAGGCGGGUGAGGCAGGUGUUCCUGCGACGCUUGACUACCCUCGCCUUGCUCAUGAGCAGGGGCACGGUUCAACCUGGUGAACACCAUCCUAACAAACAAACUCACAGCUUAGACCAAUAUCAUAUCAAUACUAGCUAUGGAUUAAGAAUGUACUGGACGCACGGAAUGCGGAAAUGAAUAUCCAAACAACAUGGUAACAAGCAACUGCUAUAUAUACACCAUGGUUCAUACACACCCUUACAUAGUUCAGUACAACCUUAACCGAAGAGCAAACUACUGAAAUUAUGAAACUACUCAUCAGAGGCUUACAAGCUUCCUAUACAUUAUUUAUCUAAGCCUCCGGAAUUCAUUUCACAUCACAGGCAUACUUCACAAGUCACGCAGGACUGUGAACGUACGGCUACUACCAUACUAUCCUUCCGCUCACAGCUCAGGCAUCCGCAUAGAACAUCUCAUAGAGAUUACCUCCAUGACCUGGAAGCUCAACCUGCGGAUCAGGAAACACUCUAGCCUGAGAUCCCUAGGAUCCAUAAGGACACGGAUGUGGCCUUGGUCCCCUGACUGGUGGUAAGAGGGGUCCCCGAAGAGGUGUGACUCCUCAUAUAGCUGGCCAGUCAACGUGGGCCGGAAGAUGGGUCCUAACAGGGUUCAGCAUCUCCAUCUCUCCAUACCCUGUCUGGACUACCGAUGCCAGCUGCGUCAAAGCCGUCCACAGACGGGCACGGGUAGCAUAUAGCUCCAUGCGGAGAGCACGGGCAUCCCUGUCUCUGUUCUCUAGCAUCUCAACAGUGGACUGUAGUAGUGCAUCCUCCAUAGAAGAAUCAAAAUAGACUCCACUGAGGUAUCCCUCUUCACCAGGCUGAGAAGCCGGAACAUAGCAGAACUCUGAAUUCUGCAGCAGUGCAUGUCUCGCUCUCAUAAUGGUCAGCAUUGAAUAGGCAGCAUCCUGUACUGCCAUGUCAACGGUGACCCCCAACCCAUAGGACCAAUGGAUUGGCUUCUCAGCUCCAGGGUAGUCUGGAAAUAUCCUAACAGUGCAGAUGUACUGGCUCUGGUUGAAGUCUCGGAACUGUUCCUCCACUGUGUACUCGGGGUACCAGCGGUAACCGCACACCGACAUCACCCUGACCAGCAUGGCCGUAUGACCCGGCACAUCAAUGCACCUAGUCAGACGUACCACCUAACGAGAAGGACGGCCAGGCAUCUGUAAAUAGAGAGUAAUGCAAAAGCAUUAGAGCUCCGAAUGCAAAAUUGGGCAGCAUAACGGCUGUAAAUGCUCAAAACAAAUUUUGAGACAACCCAAAAUGGAAUAGCGUAACCACUCAACUAUCAAGUUCAACUCUCUGAUCAUCAAACUUACUUCCUUCUAACUAGGAAUGACAGAAACCCAAUAUCUCUUGACCCGUAGUCCUAUAAUCUACCGAUCAGAAACACGAGCCUAGAAGAAGAUGAGUAACCUAGUCUUUAAUUCCCGCAAAAAAGACGAGGAUGACCAGAAUAGAAUAACUUGAGAAGAGAACAAGAGUCUUACGUUCCCCUCCACAAACAAUUCCCUUAUAUAUAACUAAAGCAAUUCUAGACUCAACUUCGACCAGUUUGGCUUAGUAAUCCUACAGUCAGUCAGGCUCUGAUACCAACGCUGUCGGGACCCCGAUCCUAAGUCAUAGGAAUCCAGCAUGUAACACAUCGCAUCCCUUUGCGGUCUCACGCACGGUUAACACCACGGCUGCAACCUUACCUUAGCCGGGACCGUUUGCGUCUUUUGACUCACGUAUGCAAUAGUGUCGCUAGCAUUCCAAUGUCGAAGAACCCGGAUCGACAUGUCUAAUCAUAAACCAAAGUGGUAGUACCGCACAAGGACAGGCAUACAUGACCCAACAAAGCAGGUGUCGGUCAUCAGCGAAUGUAGACGAGUCGUAGCAAGCUACAAGGACUCCAUUACAUCGCGUGACAUUUCCCAAAGGGGACAGACACAGCAGCUAAGAAGGACACAUGCCGGUCAACCAAUGUGUCCGGAGCAGUAGCGAACUACCAAGGCUCAUCGGAUCACAAAGGGGCAUUUCCUUGUAAGGAGUGCUACUAAAGUUCACGACUAGGUAAUCGAACCCCAUAUAUAUCAAGCACGACACACGUACGCAAGGCAUACCGAUAUGUAUAGAUACAUCGAUGGCAUCACAACAUAACCAUAAACAUACAAGCUUUAUUUAAGAGGCUCAGAAGAGCCACAGACAUAAUAUUACACAUUAAAGGUCUCACGACCCAUAAUAACAAUCAUGCAGUUACAAGCCAGCGGAAGAGUUUAAAACUGGCAGAGUAUAGACAGGGCAACUAGAAGGCACAUGGCCUGACUAUACUACAGAUCCAACGUAGGGCCAGAUCGUAGCUGGGACACUAGCUACGCGUCGUCGUCGAUGUCUACGAAGAACCCUCCAUUAGGGUCAUUAGCAACCUCUGCAACAUUUAUUAAGCAAACAUGAGUACGAAGGUACUCAGCAAGACUUUAGGAUAACUAACUGCUCAUGCAAGGUAUCAAAAGGUAGUGUGGGGUCCCAUGCGUAAAGCCAGCAUUUGACUCGUGGCUAGACAACUUGCAUUUUUAAAUAAUUUUUGACAACUUGAUUUCUCGCACACGAGUCCACUAACACCACAACAAUAAACUAUCGUGGAAUCAUUCCGUCUCCAUACGGAAAUGCCGUCCACGACACUCACGCUUAUCUUGACAAUUUUAUGAGUAGCCAUUGAAGUUGUCUAUGAACAACAUAUGUCUCCAAGUAGUCCAUAUCUGCGGACGCGACUAUUCGAAUAGAUCAUAACCCUGCAGGGGUGUACUUCGUCACACACGCUCUCGCCACUUAUCGCCAUGUGCACGUCAUGCACCUCAGCAACCUUCAAGAGGAAGCCCAGUGAGGGAGUCGGCCACGACCAUUAACCUCACUAGUACCUAGUCCAGGUUUAUCGCCUAUCUGAGAGUAACCCGUACGAAAGUCCGGUCGAGGUUUCCGCCACGGCCUCAAACGAUGUGCGCAGGGUUCCCAAGCCCACCAUCCGGGUGCCACUUGGUACACCGUGCCACUGCCUACCGCAUCACGGCCCACCUCUCAGGUCAGCACCAUGGACGGCCUCCAGCAUUACUAUAAACACCAGAAACUACUUGCAACUCCUGGACCGAGUACUAAGCGAUUAAUAAGUCGAGAGGGUCAAUUAAGUAUCCCAACGUGUGGUAGUAUCUAGUCUUGGAUUUCAUACACGGAACUCAGUUCCUAAGGACGGUUCCAAUGAAACAACCCGCCAUGUACUCCUACACAGCCUUGCACCGGUACCUUUACCAAUCAGGCUCAACACACAACCUUUGCCUACCGAACACAUUCUCACAAUUCUGUUCAUCUCCCAGAUGACAGACCAUACAUGACUCUAAGGAUAGCAUGCAUAGCAGGACAAGGCACAACAUAGCUCAAGAAACUAUCAGGUAUGCUAGGAUGCAAGGUUCGGCUAUUUACUGUGACAAGGUUAGGUCAUGCAAAGGAAGUGGGUUCAACUAAUCGUGGCAAAAGCAAUUGAAGCAUUUGAUCCUAAUGCAAUAAAUAAGUGCAGGAGCAAGAACAUGGGAUUUAUAAUUAGGACAGUGUGUGAUCAUGUCAUUUCAUAAUGAAAUUUGAAUAUUUUCCAAAUUCCAUUUAUAAAGUAAUUAUAAGAAUUGACUUAAUCAUUAAUCUACAUGUUUGGGUUUUAUAACCUUUUCAAACAUGAUUGAAAAUAGCAUAUUCAGAUUCCUUGAAUUUUUCUGAUACUUUUUCAUAUAUAAAUUAUUUUCAUUGGAGUUACAGAUUAAUUUCUAUGAAUUUUUGAAGUUUUUAAACAAUUCUAGAAUUAUUUCUAUACUGGAAAUUACUUUUACUGCAUCAGCAUGACGUCAGCAGGUCCAACUGGCCGUUGAAAGUCAAACCUGACCAGUGGGACCCACUGGUCACUCUCUCUGGUCAAUUUUAGAUUAGGAUUAAUCUUAUUUAGUUAAUUAAACCCACUGGACCCACAUGUCAGUGACUUAUUAACUUAUCUGAUUUAUUUUUAUUAUCUUUAAUCUUGCCAGAGGCUGGCCCCACCAGUCAGUGGCUCAGGCCAGCCGGGAUCCACCGGCGGCGAGGUCGUCCUCGCCGGCGGGGAGCCUCCGGCGAGCACCAGAACCUCGGGGGGGCUCGGAAAUGGCGCACAGGGGGCCAAACGCUGCGCGGAGAGCACCAGAGGAAUGGCACAUCUCCCGCAGCUCCAUUUCUGCACUUAGCCGGGGCUGAUCUGGCCGGAGAUGGCGCCGGCGACGAGCUCGGCGGCGGCCAAGGCUCGGGCGUCAUCGGGGUCUUUGAUACGGAGGGAACUACGCACGGUUCUUAGUUCCUACAGCAUCUACGCGACGGCCUGAAGCUGCUGGUGCCCUCGGAAGGACGAGCUGAUCACCGGAGGGUUACCGGCAACGAGCUGCAGCGGCGGAUCUUAUCGGGCUCCGGUGGAACUAGGCCUAGAGAAAGGGAUCGACGGGGAGAUCUUAGGGGAAAUGACCGCAUGCUCACGGGGAGUGCAGUGGUGGCGCUAGUCUGCUCGGGGACGGCCUGGAGAGGGAUAACGUCGGCGGCGAUCUUCGGUGACCCGAGGAAGAAGAUGAUAGUUGCUCGCUGAUUCACUGCAUCUGGGCGUCGGGCUCGUGGCUAGGAAGCUUCAGGGGGUUGCGGUGGAGCUAAUGCGCGGCUCAGAAGGAAGGAAGGUCGGCUAGAACGACGACGAGCUCGAGCUCUGCUCGGGCUCCAAUGGCGGCAGAAGGGGGAAGGAGAGAUCCGAGAGGAGGGGGGCACUGGCGCUUGGAAUGGAUAGGGGCGGCCUCGGGGAGCUUAUCCUCGGCUUUGCCAGCGCGAGGCGGCGGCCAGGCAGGCGCACAGGUGCGUGGAGGCGCGCGGCGACGCGGCGGCCAUCUCCUGCUCCUACUGGCGAGGAGGGAGACGACAGGAGGAGCUGGGCUGGGCCGGCUAGGCGACAGGUAAGGUUUCCAAUUUUUUUCUUCUUUUGUUCUGUUUCUGUUUUAGCUAUUACAAUAAAUUGCUAUUUAUUUCAGCUCCAAAAUGGGUUGUAAAAACUAUUUUAAACACACCUGAAUAUUUGUUGGAAUAUUCCCAACCAUCUCCAAAGUUUUCAACAUUUUUGAAAAUUUAAAGUUUCUGAUUUCAAAUUUAAAAUUUGAAACCAGUAGCUUUUUGCACUUAUUUAAAAUGCUUAAAGUGUCAAGAAAAAUGUUUUCUUCAUUGCUCAUUUACUUUCAUGAUUUACCAGAAAGUUUGAACUUUUCUUGAGGCCAUUUUGGAUUCAUUAAUUUUAACUAGUUUGAGAUUUCCUUUAUUUAAAGUAAUGGCUAGGGUUUUGAGUUUUCCUUCACCUCUUUCUUUGAUCUUGUUGAAGAUUCUUAGAUGCAAAUGCAAAGAAGACAUGAGCACAAGACUAACUUGCUUAAGGUGUCAGGGAUGUGACAAUGAAACCACUAAAUUAACCCUCCAAAACCCCCAACCCUCCCCCCCCAUUAAAAAAACCACAGCUCCAGCGAGAUGCUGACGCGUGGAUGCCAUUUGGUCGCGGUUAGUGUGACCAACCUGACUGAAGUUCCUCCUGCCUGGUCUCCCCGCGGCGACUACGUGGAGACCCUUUGGGAUAGGUUCAUAAGCCAACCGGGAUUAAAGGUUUGGGCCUUUAGUCCCGCUUCCGGAACCGGGACAAAUGAGUCUUUUUCUACUAGUGAAACCAUCUCAGAUGAUGUUGGACAAGCUUCUCAUAAAUUGGCCCUACCCCAAUGAUGUCUAUGCACGCUUCUAUUCAUGUAGACUAUGUUGGGCCUCCAAGCGCAGAGGUUUGUAGGACAGCAAAAAUUUCCCUCAAGUGGAUGACCUAAGGUUUAUCGAACUCAUGGAAGUAGAGGUUGAACAUGGUCUCUCUGAAGUAACCCUGCAAUUAAGAAACACUCUUGUGAACCCAACACACCUAAUACAAUGGUAAAUUGUAUAGGUGUAGUAGUUCAGCGGAGAGAUGGUAAAAUAUGGGUGAUAGGUGUGGCAAGCAAGGUAAUAUAAAUCUGUAAUAAAAAUUACAGCAAGGUAGCAAGUGACAAAAGUGAGCACAAACGGUGUAACGAUGGUGACAAACAAGGCCUAGGCUUCAUACUUUCACUAGUGGCAACUCCCAACAACAUUAACAUAGUCUAAUCACAUGAUAUUUCCACUAAAACAUGCAAUGGAGACGUACUUGGAGGUCAUUCCUUUGUGAUCAAGGGAUGACGAGAAUUAUGUAGGGCUACAAAAGCACACCUCAGAGUUCGUAGUUCUCAUCUAUGGAUUUCCCAAUGUCACUGCGGCCAUCCAAAGAGAGUACCNNNNNNNNNNNNNNNNNNNNNNNNNNNNNNNNNNNNNNNNNNNNNNNNNNNNNNNNNNNNNNNNNNNNNNNNNNNNNNNNNNNNNNNNNNNNNNNNNNNNNNNNNNNNNNNNNNNNNNNNNNNNNNNNNNNNNNNNNNNNNNNNNNNNNNNNNNNNNNNNNNNNNNNNNNNNNNNNNNNNNNNNNNNNNNNNNNNNNNNNNNNNNNNNNNNNNNNNNNNNNNNNNNNNNNNNNNNNNNNNNNNNNNNNNNNNNNNNNNNNNNNNNNNNNNNNNNNNNNNNNNNNNNNNNNNNNNNNNNNNNNNNNNNNNNAAGGUUUCCAAUUUUUUUCUUCUUUUGUUCUGUUUCUGUUUUAGCUAUUACAAUAAAUUGCUAUUUAUUUCAGCUCCAAAAUGGGUUGUAAAAACUAUUUUAAACACACCUGAAUAUUUGUUGGAAUAUUCCCAACCAUCUCCAAAGUUUUCAACAUUUUUGAAAAUUUAAAGUUUCUGAUUUCAAAUUUAAAAUUUGAAACCAGUAGCUUUUUGCACUUAUUUAAAAUGCUUAAAGUGUCAAGAAAAAUGUUUUCUUCAUUGCUCAUUUACUUUCAUGAUUUACCAGAAAGUUUGAACUUUUCUUGAGGCCAUUUUGGAUUCAUUAAUUUUAACUAGUUUGAGAUUUCCUUUAUUUAAAGUAAUGGCUAGGGUUUUGAGUUUUCCUUCACCUCUUUCUUUGAUCUUGUUGAAGAUUCUUAGAUGCAAAUGCAAAGAAGACAUGAGCACAAGACUAACUUGCUUAAGGUGUCAGGGAUGUGACAAUGAAACCACUAAAUUAACCCUCCAAAACCCCCAACCCUCCCCCCCCAUUAAAAAAACCACAGCUCCAGCGAGAUGCUGACGCGUGGAUGCCAUUUGGUCGCGGUUAGUGUGACCAACCUGACUGAAGUUCCUCCUGCCUGGUCUCCCCGCGGCGACUACGUGGAGACCCUUUGGGAUAGGUUCAUAAGCCAACCGGGAUUAAAGGUUUGGGCCUUUAGUCCCGCUUCCGGAACCGGGACAAAUGAGUCUUUUUCUACUAGUGAAACCAUCUCAGAUGAUGUUGGACAAGCUUCUCAUAAAUUGGCCCUACCCCAAUGAUGUCUAUGCACGCUUCUAUUCAUGUAGACUAUGUUGGGCCUCCAAGCGCAGAGGUUUGUAGGACAGCAAAAAUUUCCCUCAAGUGGAUGACCUAAGGUUUAUCGAACUCAUGGAAGUAGAGGUUGAACAUGGUCUCUCUGAAGUAACCCUGCAAUUAAGAAACACUCUUGUGAACCCAACACACCUAAUACAAUGGUAAAUUGUAUAGGUGUAGUAGUUCAGCGGAGAGAUGGUAAAAUAUGGGUGAUAGGUGUGGCAAGCAAGGUAAUAUAAAUCUGUAAUAAAAAUUACAGCAAGGUAGCAAGUGACAAAAGUGAGCACAAACGGUGUAACGAUGGUGACAAACAAGGCCUAGGCUUCAUACUUUCACUAGUGGCAACUCCCAACAACAUUAACAUAGUCUAAUCACAUGAUAUUUCCACUAAAACAUGCAAUGGAGACGUACUUGGAGGUCAUUCCUUUGUGAUCAAGGGAUGACGAGAAUUAUGUAGGGCUACAAAAGCACACCUCAGAGUUCGUAGUUCUCAUCUAUGGAUUUCCCAAUGUCACUGCGGCCAUCCAAAGAGAGUACCACAAUCACCACAACCUAUCUCAAGGAUAGUCAAGGAAAAGCACCAAGAGACUCUCAAUCUUAAAUCAAUUCACAAAAGAGGAAAUCACUCAUGAAAAUAUUCUUCUAAUCCAUGCCAAUAGACCGCUGUCACCAUGGUCUCGGAGAUUAUACUAGAUAAGAUCAAGUGAGUACAUCAAUCCAAUACGUAGAAGAAUGGGAAACAUCAAGGGAUCACCCUAGAUUAACAUAGCCUAUGAUCACAAUCAAGAUCACAUCAUGGGAGAGAGAAUUAACCACAUAGCUACUGUAGAAGUCCUCAACCCCGAGGAGGAACUACUCCCGCUUCAUGGAGGGAGGAAGCAACGUCGAUGGAGAUGAAUCCGGGGGCUCUUCCCCGUCCCGGCAGGGUGCCGACAUAGGAAUUUUGGUUCCCCGAAACUUGUUGGCGAUGGCGGCGGAGAUCGUAAUUGGUUCUGGACAGAAGGGUUCUGGAAUCAGGGUUUCCUCCACGGGGGUAAAAAUAGGGCCAAAGGGGGCACCAGGGGAGGUCCCAGUCGCCCAGGCGGCCUUGUGACGCAACCUGCCCCUAGGCCACGCCAGGUGGCCGCUUGGGUGGGGGUGGCCCCUUCUAGCUCUCUUUCGGGAGUCUGGAGUCUUCUGGAACGCUGAUUUUCUAUAUAUUUUCUAUGGUAUUUUUCAAGGACUGUAAAUAUGGGUAUAAACCUGCAAUUCACAGACAUCAACAGAGAGAAACUGGCACUGGGUGCACUGAGUUAGUAGGUUAGUCCAAAUAUGUUGAAAAAGGUAUAGAAGUGCACAAAACACAUAGCAAUAUCAACCAAAACUUGCAUGGAGCAAGCAGAAAUAGUAGAUACGUUUGGGACAUAUCAACAUCCCCAAGCUUAAUUCCUGCUCGUCCUCGAGUAGGUAAAUCAUAACAAGCAUGAUUUCUGUGGUGACAUGCUAACACACAUAUGCAAUUCAAGUCAAGAUAAUAACAAGCAAGAGUCUAUAUCUAGUAUUAAAACUAGCAAAGUAAGAACAUAAAGGUGCAAGAUCUCUCAUUGUCCAUGCCUCGAAUGUCUCCAAAUGGUGUUUGCCUGCAAGAAGUGGGAGAUGGGUUUAGAGCAUAAAAAUACUAUGUAGUUUAAUUGAGAAGUCAAUCUACUAAAAUUCACACUUGGUCUCCUUUGGAAUCUUAUUUUGACUUGUCCCCAGAACACUAGUCAGGUACAAGUAAAACUGAUACUCUCCCUUUCGACUUUGAGCACUCAUCCAAUGGAUGAGCGCAAGCAAGAUAGUUGGCACUUAGGAUGGCAAAUAGAAAAUUGAUGGGAAGGAAGACAAAAAUGGUGUGAAAGGCCCACAUCAAUGAGGACAAUCAUAGGCGAGAGAAAGCCAAAUGAUAGAUAUGAUGUGAGGAGUAGGGAUUGCCAUGCAACAGAUGCACAUAUGAGCUAAGGUAAGCUCUCCAAUGGAACUAGUGGGGGUGCAUCCAACUUUCUUGCUCAUGAAGACCUAGAGCUCAUUUGAGGAGGCUCAUCAUUAGAAUAUACAAGCCAAGUUCUAUAGUGUAAGGGUCCCCACAUAGUUAUGCAUGAAUGAUAAUCUCUAUGGAGUACAAAUAUGAUAAUGGACUACGAGUGUGGAUCGUUCAAAAGGAAUUGUAUUGUUGCCCCUUUCUCCCCCCCCCCUCUCUUUUUUCCUUUUUCUAUUUUUUGUAUUUUUGUGGCCUCUUUGGCUCUUUCUAUUUAUCUCUCAUUUGUCCUCUUUGGGAUCUUUUAAUUUGUCUCUUUUGGAAUAUUUUGUUUUUUCCUCUUUGGGAUCUUUUCCUCACUUAAGGGCAACACUCUAUAUUUUACAAGAAAUAAAAAGAAGAUCUUCACACUUUAUAAGAAGUAGUCAACAUAAAGAUAAAUGAAAAAUAUCAUGAUGUAUGCAAAUGUAUGCCUCUGCGAGUGUAGUAGGAUAUGCAAUGAUACUAGCGCGUCAUGUAGCAAUAAUAUGGGCAAAGCCCAACUAGCAUGCGGCUCCCCGAUCAAGCAAAAGCAUGUAUGACAUGAAGAUCAAGUCAUGAGAUGGUUGAUGUUCCAUGGCAAUGUAUCUCGGAAAGGCUAUGGAAAUGCCUUAAUAGGUAGGUAUGGUGGCUGUUUUAAGGAAGGAUAUAAUGAGGCUUAUGAUGAUAGGGCGUAUCAUGCCAAGAGUUUGGAUGCACCGGCGAAGUAUGCACCAACUCUCAAAUUGAGAAAUGGCAAUGCACGGUACCAAAGAGGCUA
rnacentral:lncRNA from 1 species